rnacentral:lncRNA from 1 species
GGGCUGCUCCCCUCGAUUGGUUUGCCGCUUUAACGGAGCCAGAACCCGGAGGGGCGAGAAGGUUCUAAAUUCUAAUCGCAUCCCGGUGUUUGGCAAUUGGCACUUUGGCUUGCUGACCAAGCCGGUUAGUUACGGUUAUCACCAUCUAACCACCUACAGUGCGGUGAUUUUUUUUCACUAAUCCAUGUGGUUAUAAGCUCUGACGGUAAUUUUUCGUUAAUCUCAUGUUUUUUUUAGACAAAAAGGUUAUUAAAAACUAGAGCAUUGCAAAGCUGUGGAUCGAGGAGGAUUCACCAAACCAAACCGCACCGAUGUAUCGUGGUAGUCCAUUGUACGCUUGUUUGGGACCAUGGAUUAGUUUCAGUCUUUCAGAGAAGAAAAAAGAAUGUUACGCUUGUUGCCUUGUUUCCUAUGCUCGACUUGUCGCGGCCGGAGAUUGCACGGUGCGCCAGGCCGCCAGUUGGCAGAUGCCGUUUGUGACGGACGAUGUGGUGCGGUCCGUGUAUGGCAAAAAAUGGAGUGAAGCUAAGCCACCGCGCGUGCACUUCCCACCGAUCGCGAUUCACAGCCGCACGGGCACACGGCACACUAGUACCAGUACUACUCCCACGCGAACGAAUCAUCGGAAGUGGCCGUGCGCGCGUUCCGGCCGCUACAUCGCGCCGCGGCAGCGCGCAAGCCGUGGAAGAGGCCAAGCGUCUUGUGCGGCUGCUACAUUUGCCUCCGCUCCAAAUAGAGACGUUGGUACUGUACUACCGUGUUUUUCAGGCUCACCAUCAGCAGUAGUACUCUGUAACAAUAGGCUUGGACGGCUGCCCCAAGUUAUCGGUUUAUCACUAAUCAGGUUCUCUAACCUCGAACAAAUCCCCAUCUUAUAUGAGAUUUAGCACGCAUCAGCCAGCACACACAGUUGAGGAAUGCCGUGAACAAGACAUUAAUCGAUGAACUGUUUGUCAUAAACACGUGGUUUAUGACAAUAUUUCAUCAAUUUGUCAUACAGAAAGUUCAAACAGUCGAUCUUAUUUGAUCCUGCAAGCUAACACAAGCAAUGCUAGUUGAUAAAAAAAGGGUGCUAAUUUAUAGUAUUUGAUAGUUUGCGAGGAACUAGUCAUCUGUAAAAAUGUUAACAAAAACCCAAAUCAGGUAAAUGCUAUAUUUGUCACGUGAAAUCAAGCUUCAAACCCCCAGCAGUUGCAAGUUGCAACAGUACAUUAAUUCUAUUAUACGGUUGCACCAGUACAUAUUACAUUCGCUAAUUUUCAGACUUCAUAACUAUGGUAGCCACUAACACCAACUAAAUGAGGAUAUGCUCUACAUGCAGUUGAUGUUUCCAUGAUGAAAUAAACCAGCCUUGGUGCUAGCAUCAGUACACAAUCAUAGUACUAAAAGUCCCUCGCACUUCGUCCUUUUUUUUAGAUGGAUCUUUGAAUACUUUUGCACUUGCAUUAUUACUUAUUAGACAGCGAUAACUGUCUAGCAUGCAGUUUUAUGAAUCAGAGUAUGAAUAUUCAAGAUCAUAUGAAAGGAGCAAGCAUGCAUGCAGCGCUGUAGCCUUUCAAUCUGUACGGAUUACUAAUUACCAGCUUAUUGUUGGAAUAAUCCUCACACUUGUGUAUUUUCAACACAAAACAAACAUAUUAUCAAAAUUGAUUCAACGUUAGAAUUAAUAAAACUAAUUUAUAUUUUAGAUGCUGAUAAUUUUUUCUAUAAGCUUUAUCAAACUUAACAAAGUUUGAUUAGGAAAAAAAGUUAAACGGUUUAUAAUAUGAAACGGUGGGCCAAAAGUUUGCUAGAAUUAUUCUGCGGCUGCUCAAAACCGUGGUUCAGACGUUCUGUAAUUGUAACUGAGAUAGUAACUAAUAGUCUCCUAAUUGUUCUGUACAAUACUAAUCGUCAUCGUAUUCGUAUGGUUCUAGCAGGUUCAGCAAACGGAGGAACAGGAGCAAACUAAACGAGUUAGCCUGAACAUACAUUCACUGAUACAUAGUAUUAAAACUCUGUACGGAAGUAUGGCAGUGAUAUAUAGUAAAAAUAUGAAUUCACAUAUCAUAAAAUUUCUCAACCGCAUACCAGUUAGGAAAUCUAAACAAUCACCCAUCAAAUAUGCGAGAACUAGAACUCAGCGUACCAUCACGAACAAUGUCGUCAGCCAUCCAUCAGUUAACAAACACUGGUUGUCCAAGAUAGCAGAGAGUUAAGCCAGAUAUCUAAUUAAAGACACUACGCAGCAUCAGUCAGGGCGUUUGGUUUCUGAACUGCCUAGUGCCCCGGAUAUGUCAAACAGAGGAAGCAGGGAGAAGAAACAAGAUUUCCAAACAAAACUUUCAUCUGAAACUCAACACUGAACUAUUCAUACAAUACUUUCACCUGAAACUCUAGGAACUAUGUUUGAACCGUCCAUGGAGACAUGUGACACGAAGUCUCGCAUCAGACACGAUGCCUCAUAUGCGUCGGUAGCCUUGACAAUGACAAAUGACAAGUACCUGAUGAAUGAAAAAGAAGAAAACACACACAUGAGGUUCAGUGAAGAAAAUUCUCUCUUGUAUGCGAGUGCAUGUGAAUUGGAGUGGUCGGCGAUCUAAAGAGGAUGGAAAGAGGCUCACUUAGGAAAAGCAGUGGCAUUCCUCAGUUCCUGGAACCUAGGAUUGAUGAAGAGCCUUCCAGUGGUUGACAGCAGUUCAUCAGCUUUGUCUCUCGAAAAGUUCAAGUCGAGCUCAUCCGUCAGAUUCUGCAAAUUAACACAAGCAAUUCUAGUUAGUCAUAAAAUGGUAAACCUCUGUUCAAUAACUUGAUAGGAACUUAGCUUAUGUAUUUUUUUUCCAGAAGCUAAAUUGCAACAGUACUUGCACUAGUAAAUAUAUGUCUAUAUUAUACUCAGUGAUUUUCAGACUUCAGGGUCAUUAAUACAAACAAACGAAGUUGCUGUUAUGGAAUAUAUUCUAUCAGUAUUCCGUAGUGUUAAAUGACAUACAGAUACAUGAUCAAAAUACAGCAUUACAACAUUGUAACUACUAAAAUGUAGAAGGUACUAAACAUGCAAAUUCACAUAUAGUCCUUGAUCGAUUCCCAUUAAUUUACAAUGUCAAAAGAACUAUACAGUGCAAAUCUGUAUCUGCUAGAUUAGAUGCACCCUCUGGUGUGCAGGAUGGCAGGAUUAAUCAUGAACCGGCCAAAUGAGAUGUGCAGACCAUGCCCAGCAUCAAAAUAACUCAAACAUGAAUAGCACAAAUGGACAAAGCACAUCAGCAUGCAGCGAUGAGAUAGAGCAAAGAAGUGAAGAACAGCGCAGCGUACGUACCAUCUGUCUCAUCAUCCUCUCCGCGGCAGAUCGAAUGUGGCAGCUCCCAAGCGCGGACGUGGCGAGAGGAGUGGUACAUCGUCGGCAGCUGGGGCAUCUUGUACUUCUUGCACUCGAGCACGAUUCUGGUGACCAGGUCGACGGCGAACAUCCACGAGUUCCGCGAGGUGAUCUGGAAGAAGAACACCACGCCGAGCUCCUUGGGGUGGAGGAGCGCGAGCACCGGAACGCGCCGCGGCAUCAUGGUCUUCCGGUAUGUCACGUGGUCCCAGAUCUCGUCGACGCGCACCCGGUGGCGGAGCGACCAAACCGACUCCUCCCCCGCAUCAGACUGCUGCAGCGUCCACAUGCUGAUCAUGAUCGUCGAUGGCGCGCCGCGGCCGGCGGCGGUGUCGUAGUCGUGGAUCUGCACGAACGCCAGCUCGCCGUCGCUCACGUUCACGCACCGGUGCUUGGCGUGGUCCGCGUCGCUGGAGUACGGUAGCUUGCAUCCCUCAGGGAGCGGCACGAAGCGCAUGUCUGGCUUCGCGGCGAACGCGUCGCAGGUGAGGAGGCCGAAGGAGAGGUCCACCCACCAGAGCAUCCCGGCGUGGACGAUGACGCCGUCGCCGCACCACGACCGGCGGCCUGGCGGGUAGUUGACCUUCGUUGAAGCCCACCCUCCGAGUCCGAGCUCCUGGGAGUAGCGUAGUAGGGUGGCACGGUGGAUGCCAUUGCCGGACUCUAUCUGGAGCUCGGCCAACAAGCGGAUCGGGUGGUCGCCAUCCGCUGCCGUUCUGCGGAUCAUGCCGACGUUCCCGGCGUAGAGGAGCCGGUACUCGUCGGAGCAGGGCGGGUAGAGGUAGGCCAUGCGGAGCGUAGCGUGGCAGAGGAUGUAGCCGCCGUCGUUGGCGCAGCUCGGUGCAGGGUCGAAUCCGAGCGCGACGCCGGGGCCGAAAUCGUGGGCGCUCCUCCUGGCGCCGCGGAGCAGGAGUCCGCCGGCGGAGUCGACGGCGACGACGUAGGGGUGGUCGUCGCGGUCGGGGCAGAAAUCCCGAGGCGCGGGGGAGACAAAGACAGAGUCGCUCUGGCGCAAGGUAAGGAGGGAAACGCCCGGCGGGUCGCGCCAGUCGAAGGCGAGGUGGUCGCCGGCCUCGAAGUCGCCGUCGGAAGAGGACACGCUCGGGACGCAGGCCAGGAUCACCCACGUGGCCUCCCGCGGCGGCGCCGCCAUCCUCUCGUCCCGCCGGAACUUGGGCGCCGCGCCGUCGAACAGGUGCGGGCUAUGCUCCAUGCGUCUCUUGCUGCUCCGAACUUCCGAAGCGGCGGCGGCGGCGGCGGCGUUGGAGUGGUCGGUGGCGGCGAUGGGAGGGGUGGGAUGAACUGGAAAUGGGCUGCUCCCGUCGAUUAGUUUGCCGCUUUAACGGAGACAGAGCCCAGAGGGGCGAGAAAGUUCUAAUCGCAUCCCGGUGUUUGGCACAUUGGCUUGCUGAACAAGCCGGUUAGUUACGGUUAUCACCAUCUAACCUCCCUACAGUGCGGUGAUUUUUUUUUCACUAAGGGAUGUACAGUGGUGUUUAAUAACAGGCUCUUUUCGUUGUCAUGUAAGUAAAUUUGGUGACGUGGAAGAAAGAGAAGGAAGGAAUGAGAAACAUCGUUGCUACGCAUGACAACGGCUCAGAGUCGACUCUUUGCAUUUAUUAACAGAAAGUUUGUUGCAUGAGGGUAUAGAAAAGGAAAGAAGUAUAAUAAAAAAAUAUUUAGUGUAUUAAUGGUUUAGAAAUCUUAUUAUCUCUAUUAUUAUAGAAGGAUAGUCUCUAGUGAUAUUAAUUAAUAUAGAGAACUCAUAUUAGUCUCUACCUUUGUACAUGUUCUAAGCCAUGUGGUUAUAAGAUCUGACGGUAAUUAUUCGUUAAUCUCAUGUUUUUUGGGGAAAAAAUGGUUUAAAACUAGAGCAUUACUCGGCACCGAUGUAUAUUGCAAAGCUGUUGAUCGAGGAGGAUUCACCAAACCGCACCGAUGUAUCAAUUUUUGCAGUAAUCUAAAUGUCAUACAUUAGUAUACUCACUUAAUUACUCUAAUCAGUAGCAGUAACUCGAACUCUCGAAGGUGGAUAAAAGGUAAAAAUUAUUACUAGCGAAUCCAAAUCUACCCGUCGGGGCCCACAUCUGGUGGCUGCCGACGAACUGGAUACCAUAUCCCAUCCGCAGUCGCCGGCGGACUGUAAGAAUUGCCGAAUCGGUGGCGAUUGUGAGGGGGAAUAAGUUCACUGGAGGUCCCUCAACUUAACAGCGAGAUUUUUUGAGUUCCCUUAACCAUAAAAUCAGAAAUCUUGACUCCUAAACUAUACAAAACGACCGUUCAGUCAAAGUCCGUAGGCAGUAUAUAUAGGACGUGGCACUAGUUAGCAAUUUUUUUAAAAAAAGUACAUGGGACCCACAUGCCAGCUGCACGUUUUUUUCUUCUCCUUCUCUUCCUUUUUCUCUCUUCCCUCUUCCCUUAUUCAGUGAGGAGGCCGGCGGCGGGCGGAGCGGCGAUGGCGGCGUGCUUCCGCUGCGCGCCGUCCGUGACGGCAGCGUCCGUCCCCGCGGGGCCCAGCCAUCUUCCUCCCGACGGGACGGCGUUGUCCUUCGCCGUGCACGACGCCGUGACCGCCUCGACGGCGAGGAUCUCCUCCUCCGCCAUGCUGCAGGGCACCUGGCCGACGAACAGCCGCACCCUCUCGCCGUCGCUAUCCUCCGCAUCUCCGACCAUCACCGUGAUCUCUCUCUCUCUCUCCCGUCUCUUUUCCUUUUCUGAUGGCUAUGCAACCUCCUGUCCGUCCUCUCCUCGUUCUUGCCUGCGUCUUUUGCCUUUCUAUAUCGGACGAGCACUAACCACUGAUUGAUUGAUUGAUCAGUAUCAGUGUCUUGAGUACAAGUUAAUUAAUCGAUGAGUAGUACCAAGUCUUGAUCUCGAGUAGCAGUGAAUGUUUUUUUUUACGGAAAGUAGCAGUGAAUGUGAUCGAAUCAUCUGAUUGAGCGAAAAGCAGCAGCAGCAUUGAUGCCUCCACCUCGCCGUCCAGUGUGACAACAAUGUCGUGCUCAGCGCCGGACUCCAGGAACCACGCCCUCGUGGACCAGCACCCACACCCGACGAGGAGACACUUGGCCUUCCGCGUCCGUCCCUGACUCCUCUGGCGGCAGCGCGGGACGAGGCGGUUCCGCGCCGCCGGCGACCGCCGCGUCGACCUGGCGUGGGACCUCACCUGCACGCGCUUCCCAGGCUUGGGUUCACCCGAGCCUUCCCGUGGUGCCGCCCCACAGACGCAGCAAUUGUGCGGCUGGAACAGCGGCGCCGGCCUCUUCUCCUCCUCUUCCUCCUCCGGUGAGUAUAGAUGGACGGACUACGUCGAUGUUGUGCGUGCAUGCAUGCUGCAAUCUUGGCGUCUCAAUUUCAUGCAUGGAUCUUACGAAGGUCGGGGGAGGACGGCGAUGAUGGCGUGCCUCGACGUCGAGAUGCCAUUCCUGCGGGGGAUCGACGUGAACUGGCCGGCGCCAGCGGGGGAGACGACGACGGUGCGGGGGCGGGGGGGGAGGGGGGCAGCUGCAGCGAGGAGGACGAGGAGCCCGGCGCGACCUCCCCCAACAUUACGGCACACUCUCCAGCCGGCAACAACGACGAGGACUCCGGCGGUGGCGGCGGAUCUCGUGUACCGCAGCCGGGGCAGGGAUGGGAGCAGCAGCAGCAGCAGCAGGAGGGAGAAGAGAAGAGAGAAGAGAGAAAGGAGAAGAAAAGAGAUGAAAAUAAGAUAUGCAGCUGACAUGUGGGCUCCACGUGCUUUAUUUAAUUUUUUUUUCUGACUAGAAUGCCACGUCAGCGAAACCACCCAUAUAUACUACCUAGGGACCUUGAGUGAACGGUUUUGUAUAGUUUAGGGGUGGAGAUUUCUGGUUUUGUGGUUAAGGGACCUUGAAAAAUCUCGAUGUUAAGUUGAGGGAUCUCUGGUGAACUUAUUCCUUAUGAGGGGGGCGCCUGCGAGGAAGACGAUGCCAUAGCUGGCUGGGCCAGGCUGCCUGGGCCAUAUCGCAUAAAGGUGUAACCAAUAAGUUCACUUAGGGUCCCUCAAUUUAUUGUCGAGUCUAAUAUUUAUCCCUAGACAAAAACACUGAAGUAUAGCUCAUUCCCCAACUCACAGUACAAUGUUAACUUUGGUUCCUUGGUAGUAUAAUGGCCGGUUUUAGCUGACGUGGUGGGUGGAAUCCACGUGGGUCUCACAUGUCAGCGGCCAACUCUUCUCCCUCCUCUCUCUCUCCCUCUCUCCCCUUCUUCCCUCCCUUCUCCAUGAGGGUGAAGAGCUCCGGGCAGGAGGGAAUCGAGGGACUCCUCGGCACGUGUGCUCUUGCAGCUUGGCGGUGCGGGCGUGGAGGCCGGUGUCCGAGAGCGUGGAGACCUCGGGUUCCAUGGAGUUGUUACGCGCCACGGUGUCGGCAUACCUCUUCCACGCCGUUUUUCUGUCGCCACCCCCAGCCCCACCGAACAUGCAUCCUAGCACGCCCCCAGCCCUGCGUGCACGACGACGCAAUCCCCACCCAGCCGCUGCGGCCCUGGAGGCUCUGUCUUCCACGCUGAAGGCAGCAGCCGAAGGCACCACCGAGGUCGGGGGAGAAGAAGAUGAUGAAGAUGAAGCGUGAGAAGUAGGGGUGGAAACUUAGGUCUCGAUUGGUAUUCGGUUUUUCGAUUAAUUCGGUCAUUGAAAAGUGAAGACUGAAUUUCAACAUAAAAAUAUCAGGAAUGGUAAAUUCGGUCUCAGUUUCAGUUUGGUAUUUAUCCGGUUUUGGGCGGGCGGGGUUGCUGCUUGCUGCUCGUUGCUUGACAGUUUCCGACGAUCUCAAUGGUUUAACCUUGUUCAAUUAUACAAGUGGAAUUUCAAUUUAAUGUUUACUCCCUCCGUUUCAGGUUAUAAGAUGUUUUGACUUUACUUCGAGUUUGACCAAGUUAUAGAAAAAAAAUAGUAAUAUUUUUUACCCAAGAUAAAUUUAUUAUAAAAAUAUAUUGAAUUAUUAAUUUAAUUAAACUAAUUUGAUAAUGUAAAUAUUACUAUAUUUGUUUAUAAACUUAGUCAAACUUAAAGCAUUUUAACUUUGACCAAAGUCAAAAUAUCUUAUAAUCUGAAAUGGAGGGGUACAAGUAUUCAUGAUAAAAUCAAAACUCUAUUGCUAGUACGUAUAUUUCUAAUCCUAAUCCUAGUAGAAUGCGAUUAGAGUCAACACACGGUAUCUCGGAUGGGAGAGUCGCUUAUUUGGUUCAUCGAUCUUUCCGUGUGUUCUCGACGUGUUCCCCGGACAGGACGUACCGUAUUCUCAUCAAUAUACUAUACAGGCGAAAAUCUGCAGGUGAGAGAGGUUGUCAAAUUUCUUUUCUGCUUUUCUUUUACUAUUCUCUCUCUCUCUUUCGCUUGAUAUUCCCAAACUAUAUAUAUACACAACAUAAUGACAUGCAUCUAGGACCAAAUUAAACUCAUCGCAUGGAGGGGCAACAUGAAAACGAGUUACAGGAAAGACAAGCAAAUCGCCCCAAGCGGAGGAGACGGCGGCUGCCGUGGUGGUACUCGGUUCAGAUCGACACGAAACGGCGAAUAGGCAGAAGAACCAGGCUACUCCUGAGAGAAAACUGCGGCCUCUACUCGAUAUGCCAGGGUAGGUACUUAAAAUUCACACGCCUGGGCUCCCAUCGCUCUCUCGUCAUUCGAGCGAAGGAACUGCAAUCCUCCUACUACCACCGCGUCCUCGAGGCUGGGAUGGAGAGCUGGGAGGAGUACACCGUGCAGGACAGGGAGGAGGUCCGGGCGCUGAUAGACGAGAUCGUCGAGCUCUACCGGAGAUCGAUUCCCAGGCCGCCGCACGACGUGGUUCGCGAACGUCGACGACGUGGGCAUCGUCGGAUCGUCGUUGUCGACGACGACGUUCGCCGCCGCAGUUGCAUGCCGUCGUCGUCGUCCUGCGUGUUUGUGGGGGGCGCUGUGUUUCUCAUUGUUCUUAUGGGGUGGAUCUUUGGGCAUGUGUUUCUUCUUGUUUUUUUCUCGUGGAUCUUAAGCUUUGUUUGUUUCAACUCAAGGUUUCACUAGGUUAUUGUAAUCUAAUAUAAACCAGAUUACUAUAAGCUGGAUUAUAAUAAGUUAUGAGUUUUUUCUCUAGAUUAUUGGGUUUGAAAAGCUAAUGUCUAUAAUACCCUAAGCUAUUGCGGAGUGGGAGGAGGAUGAGAGACGGCGGCGGCAUGGCUUGGGAAGGAGCCGGAGUGUAGGGUGGGAGCUUAGGGAAGGAUUUGCACGCGACUAGGGAGAGAGAAAGCAGAUGCACGUGCGGCCGAGGGAGAUUCGCGCGCGACUGGAGAGAGAGGAAGCGGAUGCGCUCAACCUGAUAGGUUCGAUGGUAGUGGUGGAUAAUUUGCAUAAAAUUUUUAAGGGUAGUGGGUCUUUAGCCGGACAAUAAUAUGAAAAAAAAACGUUUAGAUGAGACUACCAGAUUAUACUAAUCUGGUUUAUAAAUUAUAAUAAUCUAUCAUAAUAAUCCACUUAUUUGCUUCAUAUUAUUACUAAUAAUCCAAAUCCUAUCUUAUUAUAUAGUUGAUGUCCACUAACUACUAAAGCUUAACAUGUAACUGUUCCACGUCAUCAUCCACUAGCAAUUAUUAUCUAGAGUAUUUUAAAUCACAUGCAAGUGUACCAUAUCAUCACCCAUUAGCAAUUAUUAUUUAGAGUAUUUUAAAUAUCAUGCAAACAUGACAUAUCAAUUAUAAUUUUGUUGUAUUUUUAGAACUCAAUAUGCAAGCAAUAUUAAAUCGUUAUAUAUCUCUACACCAUUUUUACAUUAUUGAAACAUAUACAUCUACCAUUUCACUCCAUAAAUCAUGGGAUUAGCUAAAAAGCUGUCGAGUAUUUUUUAGGAAAAACUUUCGAAUCUAACUACAUUAUAUAAUUUCAUUAGAACUAUACUAUAAUAAUAAUAACUUGUAUAUAUGUAUUAAAACAAUAUAUGCAACUUUAUAUCUUAUAUAGAGAUAACAAUUUAGUUAUAGUGUAGUUACACUAUACUUACAAUAUAAGUAUAUAACAAUAGUAUAACUACAAUGUAGUUAGCAUGUAACUAGAAUGUAACUUAGAUGUAACUUGAACAAAUCUGCCAUAAACAUGUGAUGAUGAGACUAGCUUGUGAAAAAGAGGGUUUAGAUCUGAUAGCAAAAUAUCUCAGCACAAAUCUUAGCGCGGAAUCAACGACCAAAAAAUUGACAGUUUUCAGGAUUGAAAACUAUCGACAGUUAGCUAGCAAAACCGUAAAUCAUAUAUACAUGCAUUAAUCCACAUAUCCCGCAACAAAACGCGGGGUAUCAACUAAUAAUUAUAAUAAUUCUAAGCUGAAACAAAUAGAGCAUCAGUCUUUGUCAACUAUUGUUUCGGUGAUCCUAAAACAAAAGUUGUAUGUGUUCCUUAAACGACGGUGUUCAGGGUUUUUUUUUGGCUUGAUGCGACCUAUCAUGGCACAAAUUAAAAUAUGAGGUGGUUUAUUUUAUAUCCGGAGAUCAUAAAAUGUUUGUCACGCUAGGUCAUUUAAGGGGUGUUUGGGAGAGAGGGGCUAAAUUUGAGAUCAGGGACUUUUGGUUUUGAGCAAGUUUAAUAGUAUAGCCAACUACUAGCUUUAAUUCAUUUAUAGUCAAUCUAAUAGCUUUUUUUUCGGGGAAUCUAAUAGCUUAUUCAUACAAUAGUUACAUACUACACUAAUAAUACCUGGCCCCACCUGUCAUACACACACUGCGUCUUGGAGUCCGUGCUAUAGCUGGCUAUAAAUCUGUAGCCCGCUGCUCUUCUCUCUGCUCAUUUAUCUGUUUAAAAUAUAUUUGCAGCUGGCUUAUAGCAUGCUAUUGUACCUGCUCUUACGGUCGCUUGGCUGGCAUGUUUUGAGGGGGAAAACCGUUACGAGGUUGGGCCGCGCGCGGCCGGCGUACCGGCGUCUGGAAGCCGCUGUGUGCUUUUACCGUACAACAAUCGCCGCGCAGCCACACAAGCACGCUUUUUAGCUAGUACACCGGCCCGUGCGAACGAAUCGCUCUGUAAACUCGCAUACACGAAAACAUGGACACAUUUUCCAGGUGCAGACAAGUUAGGCUGAGCCUUUUGGGCUAGAAAAAAAAAAAAGGACAUCCCGGCACAAACCGUGCCUUCUCAGCCGCUCACGACGCGGCCACGCCCAAGCGUUUUCACCCGAGCCGGACCAACCUGGCUCUGGCUGGUAUAAUACGCGGUUUCAGAUCCUGAUGAGGCAGCGACGACGGCGACGCAGGAGGUGCACACAGGCUCCUCGACUCGUGAGGCGAACUCUCCCUCGGCAUCGCUACGUGAAGGUAAUUAACACGCGCGCUGGGGCUCCCUCCCACGCGCAUCGCCCUCACCGUGCGCGCCGAUGAGCUAUGGCUACCGCGACGUACGUCCCGUCCUCGUGGACAAAGGCCGGGAUCGAGGAGUACACACCGAGCGGGACAGGGGAGUACACACCGAGCGGGACAGGGGAGGAGGUGCAGCAUCGUACGUGGAGAUCAUCGUCUGUGGUCCGACUCGGAGAUCGUCCAUGGCCAAAGCCACCGCCGGACGCCGUCGUUCGCGAACGUACGUCGUCGACGUGAGCAGCGUCGGGUUGCCGACGUUCGAGGGAGCUCCUCCGUGUGGUCUCGCGUGUUUGGGGGGGGUGGGUGCUCUUAAUUCGACUUCAAUAUAAUCGUAGACGGUGGUGUUGCGAGUGAAAUUCGAAUUUAAGGAUUGCACGUUUGCACCCUUCGAUUAGCUUGCCUCCAUUUUUACAGAUUUACAGGGUCAUUUUUAUCAGGAAAAUAUCCGGUUCUAUAAAGGUCAGUGUAUAGAUACAGUCAGAGAUUGGUCUCAUAAACUAAGACAUGUCGAUCGACAAGGGAGUAAAUAUACACAUUCAUUGAAUUUGGACUUUUGCCACGGCACAGAAACACUGAACAAAAUGUGCCUUUGUUCAAUACAAUCAAGAAAAGGAAUAAUAAAAAGGAAUGAAAAUCCUCUAUCCUAUUAAUCUAGCUAUAAUAAGGAACUAUACAGGUAUUUACGGGAACAUGUCAGAUUGCCUACGUAAGGUUUUUGCUAUGCCUCCAUCGAAAGUCGAAAUAGGCGAUUCAAGAAAAUACGAGGAUAAAGUUGAUCCCCAAACCACCACCAUCUGCAUGCCUUCAUGCAAAUACUGGGGAAACCAGCGAAACUAUGCUGCUAUUGCCACUACUGUGCCACUUACUAUGGUCAACACCAGCUUAUUGCAUCUCUAGCAACAAAUUGUAUUGUCUAACAAAACUUCUACAAGUUCACAUGAAGCUCAUCCAGAUAUACUAAGGUCUGUCAUGCUUCUGUCAGCAAUAUAUGCCUUUAUAUCCCUGAAAAGAUUUAAAAGGGAAAAAGAUAAUUAACAAGCCAAUUGGAAAAAAUAAAAUUGUGAAAAUUAUUUCACAACUCCGGAAGGCAGAUCAAUAUUGCGGGUGAUGCACACUUUACCUGCAUCUGGGAGCUGAACAGUCUGCAUUGUCACAAAGCAGUGAGUGCGUGAACAGCAGUUUCCACAUGAAUACACACAUAUGGCAACCUCCUCCACCACGGGCACGGGUAUGACAUCGUACACCAUGGAAGAACAGUUUCUUUAACGUCAAACAAAGUUUGGAAGUGCAACUUCGAUCAAAACAUCUUGAUGCAUGCACCAAGCCUUCAAGGUAGUCCUGCUUUGAAAGCAUCCAAUUCAUUAGCAAGAGGCACCGUAAAUAUCACUAGCAGAAAAUAAUAUUUGGGAUGAAACCACAUAAUUACCACAUUAGAAUCUAAAAGCUCAUAGAAUAUUUUUCAUCCUGAUUGAAAAUUUGGAUAUGCAGUCACAAAAUACUGGGACAAAACAUAACAUGAAGCAACACAUAAGAAUAGUGAAGCAUACACUUCACACAUAUGCUCAAGAUUAAACCAAAAGGAUAAAAUUAUGGAACAAAUAAUAAUAGUGCAACUCACUUAUAUUCUACAGUUUAUGCCAAAUAUAAUCAUGCGAAGAGCAAACAACCAAAAAAAAAUCAGAUCCCCAGAGUUGUUCCCAAAAAAUCAGAAGAUGUUAAUUUCGAGUGCAUAAUAAACAUUCAUGAAAAACACAAAUAGGAGAUGAAAAAGAUUCAGCUACCAAUUUAAGGAUACCUGUAGAGUGUACUUCUGCAAUACGUGAUGGUCUUUUUUCUGCCUCAACUUAUGAAUAUGCAAACUUUCACCGUCUUGUUUAUAGCAUGAAUCACAAAAGUUGCAGCCUAGGCAAACCAAGCACCGCCAUGCCAAGCAUUGAUCCAUGGCACGGUGACAAGAAGAACAAGUUGAAUCAUGUAGAUGAUAAAGAAUCAUCAUUGUGGAAUGUUUUGCCCUCCGGAGAGUAUCAAACUGGUAUUGAUUGUCUUGACAAUGCUUCAGGAAAUCUAUUCUGCUGUCAAAGUACUUGCUUUCCAUUGUUGGAUCUACAUCAUCCGUUUCUGGAAGAGGUUCUUCCUCUAUCUGUCAGAGGAGAUUAGUAAUCUGGUUAGUAUUUCCAUGCAGGCAGAUUGUAGCUACCUUAAAUAGAUGAAUUCAUAUACGUACUCUUUCAAAUGCAUGCUUUUGUUUUGUUGUAGCUGGGUGCCUGUCCUUCAGAGGGGUAUUCAGCUCCUCAGCAUAACAACUACGAGGACAAAUAAGAAUGGCAUCAUAAAUAAUGGGUGCCUUAACGACAAAGAGUAAUUGAAUAACAACAAAAGAGUAGGAAUGUAGAUUCAUUUUGCAAUUUGACAGGCAAACGGUCACUGUAUAAGCUAGAAUGGUUGAACUAUGCAAGUGCCAUGUGCAAUUAUAUAUUUUUACCAACAGCAGACAUUUCCCCUAGUGCUGUUCCAGAAAGUUCUUCAGUAUGGGAAAUGCAUUCUAUAUGGUCACAAAAGUUUACAUGACUGAAUGCUUACCGUUCACAAAGAAAGAAGUUUUUGCAGCUGGUGCAAACCCAACUACUACCAGAUACAAUAGGAUGGUGGCAAUGCUUGCAAAAUUGCUGCAGACAAAGCAUUAAAAAAUCUUCUUUCAUGGUUCGCAACCUUUCUCCAAGCUGCCAACAAUGAAAAUUAAGGGGUCAAGUGCCUAAAAUACUGAAGAAGGCCCGGCGAAAAAAAAUUCUGAAGAAAGGGAGCACCAUGAUUUAAACAACCAACCUUAUGCACAAGUAAAAUAUCCUCGAGGUUUCCUUUCCGGUCAUCACGUUUGGCAACCCGUAGAAGCCUUCCUAGUUGAGUUUCUUUCUUCUGUGAGGUGUCAUCAUCUUUCUUUUCAAGGAGCCUCUCUGCUUCCCCAGGCCAGAAAUCAUUAUCACAGUAUGGCAACCAUGCAGCUGAGAUAUUGGUCUUGCAUUCAUUGGUGGGCUGAAGGAAGAAGUCAUAGAGUGUAUUCCGUUCCACAACUACCCCCUCCUUAACAGCCUUCUUUACCAAAUUCUGGUACCUAAAUAUAUUGAAAAGAUUAUCAAAUGAAGGCCCAUAAAUAAUUUUAGGAUUGACUGUAAAAGAUGAUGAAGACCAACCAGCUCCGAAGCUUGUCAGACUUUGGCAUCUUCUGUAUUGUAGGAUGACAAUAUAAAACAUAAUCGUCACGCUUUGUAGAUGGGCAAGUCCAUAUGGAACAGCUUACAAACCCUCGUUUCUUGCAGAAAUCCAAGUAGCCAAUCUGGGGGAAAACAGAUUGGAAGAUAAUCAGACCAACAUGAGAUCCAUAAACUGAAAUCAAGAUCAAGAACACUAAGUGUUUAAUGAUUAUGCAUUCUCAUACCAAAAUUUCAUGAUACACAAAGGUACGGAGAGCUUCUCCACUGGCCGACUUGAUUUCCGGUCUGAAGUACUUGACAGAAUCAAUAUAUGCAAGAUAAACGUGCCUUUGAUUUGGUGAUGGGCAGGCUGAACCAUACUCUUGCACAUACAUGGCGAACAGGCAUACAUCUACACCUUCAUUCUUUUGAAACAAGAGAAUGGCCUGCACAAGCACAAAACACGGAAAUGGUAACCCACAUUAUCCACUAAAUAAUGAAAGCAUAAUUUAAAUGGAUGUUAUAAUAAUAGCAUUAGUAAAGUAUAAGUAUCACAUAAUCACCUUUGAUUUGUACGGAAAUUCCCCAGGAUAUUGUUCUUUUUUAAAAAAAUCCUUGAAACGUGGUUGGACUUGCAGUGUUCUAUCAGCUGAAGAUACCACUCUAACAGUAAGACCUUCAACUCCUGGUACCUAAUAAUUGGACCAUAAAAGUUCGCCCAAUAAGUUUCUCCAGUAUAUUACAGUGUAAUAAAAAUCCUAGAGGCAGAAAAAUAACAUUAAGAUCAGCAUAGAUGAUCAGAUAAGACUAAGCAAAGCAUCCACAAGUUUAUGUUCCAAGUUUGACCAUGAAUUGUAAUAUGACAUCUUGGUCAGCUAAAUCAGAUGAAUAUGCAGAACCAACUUUUAUCGGAAUCCAAUAAAAUGCAAGGAAAAAGAAGAAAAAAGUAGUUUCACUAAAAAGGAUACUGAAACGCAACAAAUAUAUGGUCAUCAACAUGUGUUCCAAAGAUGAAUUCAUGUGUAAUCAGCUGCAAUCCUGAAGCCAUAAAUACACAUUGCUAGAUGCACCAAGAGAAGUAUUAAGAACAUGAUUAAGUGAAAUGCCAUCAGUACAUUGUAAAAAAUAAAAAGAAACGUAUGACAGUAAAGAUGCAUUCAUGUAAUGAAUUAUCUAAGUCAACUUAGAAGACUAUAAUAUAAGGACUAACAUGUUACUUGUAACCUUCAAUCCAGCACAUAGAGCAAGAAGCACAAAAAUGCAAUUGGAAAGACGUAUGUAACUUUUGGCUGUGGUUCAAUAGGUUAACAGUGAGGUAGCCUGUUCAACGGUAGCAGAAUGCAACACCAGCAUAUUCUGUACACGGGACAAGGUAUAAAAGAAAAGCAUAACACAACUACCUCAUCAACACUUUUUCCAGAAGCAAUUGCCCUCUGUUGCCGCUCCUGCACAAGCCGCUCAGAAAGCCUUUGCUCAAUAUGAUCACUUAGUCUAGUUCUUGGUAACUCGCGUGCUCCCAGAAUAGUAGAUGGCUCAAGUGAAUCAACAUCUUCAUUAUCCUUUUCCUUCAAGAAACAUUUUGCACAAGUAUAUUCAGCCUCUGGAUCCACGAUUUUGGGGUUAAAAAGUGCGCAGAUUUGAUGCUGCCAAGCUUUGCACUUAUCGCACUGGACCCACUGAAAAGGCAUAAUUAAACAAAAAAUGAGUAAUUCGUAUAUGAUUCCAAAUGACUAGAGAGAAAUAAGAGAAGCAUAUGUUACCCAUUCUGCCUCAGCAUCUGUCUCUGCAUAGCUGAAUCUCUUCUGAUAUUUGGCUUUGGCACUACUAAGAUGGUGGCAUCUGCCACAUAUUGAAGAUUUGUCAUUUCCAUUUUCCACUUCAACAUAAUAGGAUCCUGUAGAAUUAAUUAUUUUAAAACAGAGCGCGCAAAAUCGUGGAGGGGGCUCAAAGAGGAGUCUUUCCAUCCCACAUAAAUUGCAUGUGUUCUGAUCAGGCAAGCCUUCAACUGAUAGCAGCUCUUCAGUCGGCACUUUGCUCUACAAAAAAUAAGUUAAUCAUGUUAAGAGAUAUAAACUUUGCUUAAAACAAGCACACACUCUGUACAAUAUAAUCAAGAAAGCUUGAGUGACAACAAAACCCAAAAUCUUAGUACCAAAUGAAAAUCAAUUGAAAGUACAUAAUAUUUAGUUAAUUUUGCAGCUGCUCAGUUUGAAAAUUUCUCUAGACUACAUCAACCAAUAAUAAUCAAGUGCUUUACAAUACUAGAUAAAUCAUACAAGAUCCAACAGGUUAUUCACUCACCUGAGAAGUAUCAUGGUUCAGAGUACACAAGUGAUCUUUAAGCUCCUCAGAAGUUAAUGCAUAAAGUACUGAGGCCCCUCUUCUCUUCCUUGCCCUCAGGCUGUCCCCUGACAAUGUUUGGUCCAAUAAAUCAACCUUUGCAUCCUUCAUCUCAAUGUCACUAUUUUCACGACGAAAUUCUUCUUCAGUUUGUACAGCACUCCCCGACAAUCUGACCAUAUCCAUUCCAUGUACAUUAUCGGUGCAAGCAAUGUUGUCCCCCAAGGAAGUACAACAUGGUGAUUUUGUUGGUGAAUUAGUGACUUCAGAUUGUACUGUUUCAGCAGAUGCAUAAGUCUCAUUGGCAGCAGGUUGUUGUUCCUUUGAAGCCUCCAUUUCAUUGACAUGGACAAGAUGGGGAACAUCAACUUUCAAGCGUUUUGCUGGAUAAUGCUUGCCAGAAGAUCCAUCUGAAGCAGGUGAAGUCGGCUUUGAUACAGUACUAUUUGAUGUCUGUUCAGCUCUAUCCACUGUCUUGCUUACAGGGCUACAAGCACCAUAAUUAGUCAUGAAGCCCUGCUGAUGAUGCAUAAAGUGGUUGCUUAAAUUUGAGCUUUUCUCCCUGGAGAAACCUUCAUGAUCAGAAGUAUGCCCAAGUUUUUCUUUCAUUUGAAUGCAUCGAUCCCGUUUGUGCUCUCCAUUGAUGUACGGAUGAAUUUGAGCAUGAUACAAGUCACGGUUUCCAGUGGUAAUGUUUGACUGAUCUGAUUGCUCUAGUGACCGACUCCACGUCUCUUGCUUCAUCUCACAUUCUAUGUAUUGUUGCAACAAAGGUCCCUGACCGGUUGUGGGAUACAAACUUUUAUUGUUUGUGGAAAGGUUUUGUCCGUUCACUGUUGAGAAAGAAUCCAUCGGAAGUGUUCUCAUUGCACUAGAACAUGUUGUUUGAUCCCACACUGCUGACAAAGAACUAGAACUCCCAGAGGUUGAUGGUUGUGAACUAUCAUUUUGAUACGCAUCACCUGGCAAAAUUUGACCAUAGUGUUUAUGAUGCCAAAUAACUUCAGCUCAACUCUGUUUCAGACAUAAGAAAGGGGAUGUAAACUCACCUGAGAAAUGUUCUUUUAUAUGGCCAAUAUGCAGUACAUCAAUACUAGGGCUACAUUUCGGUAGAGUUGAUGCACAUGAGGUAAAAAUGGUGUUUGCUAAUCUUUCAGGCAUCUGCUUGGGUUUAUCAGCCAACGAAUGAGCAAAGUUAGCAGCACCCAUACAGUUUUCAUAUUGGUUAUAUCCUGCCAAAAUCAAGCCAAUAAAGAAUUAAAAAAAUUAAGGUGUAUUGUGAGGUUAAAAUAGGUAACUCAUCAUCUCAACUCACCCUGAGUGGAGGAUACAUUAUAUGCACAGGAGGGCAGAUUAUUAGGUCCAGGAGUAACUCUAUCAUGGUAGAUGGGCACCUCCAUCACAGGCAGCUGUUGUGAGUUUAGUUUGGAUGAAGCUGCUGAAGCACUCCAAUGAAACAUACUACCCCGAAAUGAUGCAGAAUUGACGAUAGCAUUCAACCUGGUUCUUAAAGUUUCAAGAUCCAUAUACUUAAUCUGAGAGAGAAUCAGAUGUUAGCAAGUGACUGAGAACUAUUUAGAUAAAUGAAUCCAAAUAAUCAACUUCUAAGUACACCAAACUGUUCAGCAGUAACAAUUCUGUUUAAGGAUUACAAGAAUAUGCUGAAUUUUGUAUUUAUUCAAUAAAGCAUGUAGAUAAGUUCAAUAUUGUCCAAUAUUAGAGUAGAAACCACACCAAAUUAAAGCACCAUAGGUGAUCAUAUAUCCUAUAAUAGUUCUAAUGCAGCAAGAGACAACACAAACCUUUGAAUCAGCUUUCUCAAAAAGAUGUCGGUCAAUACAUUUUCCAAUUUCCAUAAGAAAGGAUAGGUCAAAGUUGCAGAAUUCCUUCCGCUCAUUUAGGUACUCUACACUGGAUAAGAAAAAAGAAUCAGGAUAUAGUUGAACAAGAGAUAAUAACUGCAAUAAGUUAUCGGUUUGCUACAACUUAAGUUGCAACAAGCCACCAAAAGCACGUGAUGUUAUCAGACAGACUGGUCACUAGCAGUCACAGAUUUUAGAUAAAAUCGUGCCAGUAGCAUUGCAGUUUUUGAAAUGUUCAACUAAAGUUGCAGAAAACAUAUGUACAGUGUAUACUUUGUUGGUACGGCAUGCUAGUAUAAAGCAACUAGUAAUCUGCGAGUCAAAGCUAAUCCCAAUAUUGGUGGUUUAAGAACUUACAUUUUACGGUGAAUAAUAUUGCGAACUACGGAUGUAUCUUGAUCCAUAUUAUCCAACUGAAGAAUUUCAGCUGCAGAUUGUGUCCAGCCACUUGUGGGGUAUUGCUGGGUAGGAAAUCCACUUGCUGCAUAUUGCUGUUGAGUCCCUUGCAGGGUCUUUGCCAUCAUGCUUCUAUCUCGCCUGGAAUUCGCAGAAUAAACCCAUUACGAGCUUGAUCAGUAGCUUACAUGCAGCCAACACAUAACCAGCAGGUAGAUGGCAACAGAGCAGAAAUAGGAUAGUAGCAAGUAUAAUACGAUUCUACUGUGACUCAUACAAACAAUGUCAGUUCUGGAAGAGAAACACAUCGCAUCUCCUAAACUACAGUCAAUAUCACUACCAAUGCGCCUACCAAGAAGCAAUAUACUAGGUAAAAUGGUGAUAACGAGUAGAUGGCGCAUAUUGCUACUACACAAUAGCGCGUGAAAACCACUAUCCCGAGCACAGGAUCACCCUUCGAAUUCUCUACACAUUGCAAUACUCAAUCAGCGUCCAAUGCUACACAGGGGUGGACCUCAUGUUGGACAUGGGUGUUCAAGUGAAUCCCCAAUUUACUAUUAUUAUAUAUAUUUAUUGGAAACAAACCAGGGGCGGAUCCAACUUGGGACAUGGGGGUUCAGUUGAACCCUCACAAACUUCUUUUGGGGAACAAACAAACUGUUAUUUUAAAGUUUAGGCCCUGAAAUUAAUAGAGGAGCUUCUUCCAGAUCUAGAAUUGAAGCUAGGGUUAACUCCCCCACAAAAAAAAAAAAAGCUAGGGUUAGCGCAAGCAAAUUCGAGACAAAAUUAGGUCGGGGAGGAUGUGGAUGCUCACCAGGAUGCAGCAGGACGACGGCGCCCCUCCCUCCCCGGCCUCUGCUCGCCAGAUGGAGAUGGGCGCCCCAACCCUAACCCUUGCUGUGCUCGCGAGAUGGGGGAUCGGCGAGGACGAAAGGGGCGGAGGCCGAGACGAGACGAGACGGGGGGAUUUUCUUUGACGCGGAAAGGACGGCGGAGAUACUCGAGUGCUCGAGGCACAAUGAUUUUUGGACGCUAAGGUUUUUUUCUUUUCUUUCCUAUAUGUAAAUUGAUCCGGUUACGUCCUGGCCCAGCCACGUUUGGGCUCGGAACAACUAACGGGCCGUGCCGUGCCGGCCCACUUGUCGAGGGGUUGGCCCUGCUGGUCAGUGGAUGGGCCAGAAUUUGGCGCCGAAUACGGCUCGGCCGGCCUGUCUGCCUAUGAUGAAUCUCACAUUGGGCCAAUACGGCCCAAUUUCUAAAUUUAUUUCACUCGCGGAGCCCAUUCACCCGAAAGCGAUUUUGCUAACGAUCACUCGCGUGAUUUUUUUCUGACAUUUCACGUUUUUUUCAGGCUCGUCAGCCGGCGCGUCGGACACCAGCACAUCGGCCACCGUGUCGGAGAAGCACGAUGACACAGUGGCCUCUGACCGGCGAGCCAGCCGCCGGUAGCACGGCCAAUACUGAUCGACGAGAGACACCGUCUCUCUUGUCGUUGUCGUGAAAUAUAAAAUUACAAUCCUAUAUAACUAAAUUUACAUUUGUAAAUUCAGUUGAUUUGACAUGUAAGUGCACUGUAAUUUUGAUAAAAAAUAAUGUUUAAGUAAAUAUGUACAUAUUAUUUUCUUUAAAAUAUAAAAUUACAGUCAUAUAUAACUAAAAUUACAUUUGUAAAUUUAGUUGAUUUGAUAUGUAAGUGCACUGUAAUUUUGAUAAAAAUAAUGUGUAAGUAAAUAUGUACUUAUUAUUUUCUUUAAAAUAUAAAAUUACAGUCUUAUAUAACUAAAAUUACAUAUGUAAAUUUAGUUGAUAUAACAUGUAAGUGCACUAUAAUUUUGAUAAAAAUAUUGUGUAAGUAAAUUUGCAUUAGUUAUUUUAUUUCAAAUAUAAAAUUACAGUCUUAUAUAACUAAAAUUACAUAUGUAAAUUUAGUUGAUAUGACAUGUAAGUGCACUGUAAUUUUGAUAAAAAUAUUGUGUAAGUAAAUUUGCAUUAGUUAUUUUAUUUCAAAUAUAAAAUUACAGUCCUAUAUAACUAAAAUUACAUAUGUAAAUUUAGUUGAUAUAACAUGUAAGUGCACUGUAAUUUUGAUAAAAAUGUUGUGUAAGUAAAUUUGUAUUAAUUAUUUUAUUUUGUAGUCCGUUGGAUGCAAAUCCAAGGAAAGAAAAAAUCUCAAAAAUCACCCGAGUGAUGCAUAGGCGGCCCCCUCGAAAGAGGGGAAAAGAAAAACAUCGAACCGACAAGGAAUAAGUCCAUUUUGCCUCCCUCAAUUCUUCCCCUUUGUCGAAUUAUAUCCCUCAACCACAAAACCGGGUAUAUUACCUCCUCCAAGUGUUAAAACCAGUACAAAACAACUCCCUUGGUGGUUUUUGACAGUGGUUUUGCUGGCGUGGCAUCCUAGUCAUCGAAAAAAACUUAAAAAUAUGUGAGGGCCCACAUGUAAGUGGCAUUUCUAUUCUUCCUCUCCUCCACCACUCUCCUCUCUCCUCCCCCUUCUCUCUCCCCAAACAGAGCACGGCCAGGAGAGGGGCCGGAGGCGCGGGAGGUGUGGGGACCGCCGGAGGAUGCGGGCGCACGCCGCAAGGGAGAGGAUCACCGGCCGCGGCGCCCACGCGGGGAGGGUUCACCUGCCACGGCGUCGAUCUGCUCGGCCGGCAACACAUCCUCCUGCUGUCUAUCCGCGCCGCCAACCUCCAGCAAAAUACAUAAGCUCAUCAGGCUACCUUUCGAAGAGCAUGUCAUGUGCUGACUGUGGAGUGCAAAAGAUUAAGCUUUCACCUAAACACUUGGAGGGGGAUAAACUGGCGACCAUCCAUGGAGCAGCAGGAGUAACAACUGAAGAUGAUCAUGAUCCAUCCCAACAAGUCGCCGGAGCAAGUGGUAGCCUCUUUCGAGCUUCGACACCUCACGAGGAACAAAUCAGACAUAAAAAACCUCAUGAAGAACAACCCAACAGUAACAAAAGCAUCCCCCCUCCAUUAGCUGCAUGUCCUUCCUGGAAUUCUAUUUUUCUUCUCCAAAGAGACAACGUGAGAUGCAUGGAUGAACAAUUGGCUAUGCGCCUACUACUGCCCGGACUCCUCAUCGGACUCGCCGUCGUAGCGCUCAUCCUCCCCGUCCUCCUGCUGCUGCUGAUGGUGUUGGUGAUGGUGGUGCGGGUGCGGCAGUUGACCGGCGGCAUCGGCGCUGCCGACCUGGUGGUAGAACUGGCUGAGCGACUGUGCGGCGAGCACGCUGAUGUGGCCGUCCUGUGAGAGUCCUAGCUCUAGCCCCGGCAUGGUGCGACGGAUGUCAGCGCCGACACCGGUAUGGUCCCCGUCCCCGUGGCGGCGACGAUUGCCGGCUCCGCCUGCUGGAGCAGCCACUGGACGGUCUCACCGUCGGACUUGUGGCCGAGCUCCCACGUCAGCUGGAAGAUCCAGGCGACGCACAGCACCGGCAUCCGGAUCCGCCGUCCCCGGGCGUCCACCUUGGUGUGCCGGGUCCUUGUUCGAGCUCCGCUUCGGUCCUAGCUCCUGCAUCCUCCUCUCCCCCGCUGCAACCGCUACCACCUGCAUCUACUGCUGCUGACAGCGGAUCCUCUCCCUCGCGGCGUGCGCCCGCCGCAUCCUCCGGCAGUCCCCACACCUCACGCGCCUCCGGCGCCUCCCCUGGCCGUGCUCUGUUCGGGGAGAGAGAAGGGGGAGGAGAGAGGAGAGUGGUGGAGGAGAGGAAGAAUAGAAAUGCCACUUACAUGUGGGUCCUCAAGUAUUUUUUAAUUUUUUUAUGACUAGGAAGCCACGUCAGUAAAACCACUGUCAAAAACCACCAAGGGAGUUGUUUUUGUACUGGUUUUAACACUUGGGGGAGGUAAUAUACCCGGUUUUGCGGUUGAGGGAUGUAAUUCGAUAAAGGGCAAGAAUUGAGGGAGGCAAAUGGACUUAUUCCAACCGACAACGAAACGAAACGGUCCUUAAUUACUCCUAUAUAUAUAAGGCAACCUAUUAUUGCCUCUUCUUUUGAUCUUUUCACGUAGACGUAGUAACGAUUUGAUCGAGGAGGAGCCAUAAUGGAUACGAAACAGCCGAGAAUCGACGCAAUAGGGCUGCGGUUCAAGACCGUGGUUCACAUCACGCUGGUGGCGUCGAUGGCGUACGCGGCCUUCGGCGCCGCGGUCGCCUACCCGGCCUCCGGCGCUCCGGCGGCUCUGGCGCUCGCGUUCGUCCUCGGCUACGGCGCGCUCCUCUUCCGUCUCCCGUUCUCCGUCUACGCGCUCGAGUUCCUGCGGCAGGAGUUCCCGAUCGCGCGGACGCCGCUGUCCGUCCAGGCGUGCGUCGCGGUCACCCCCGUCGCGCUCUCCGUCGCCGUCCUGGCGGUGCUCAACCAAGCGAGGGCCGGCGGCGGCGGCGACGUCGCCCUCGCCACCUGCGUCGUCUGGGCCGCCGACGUAGCCGCCGUCCUGUCCCUCGCGUGGUGCCUCACGCACGGCGGCGCCCUCGCCAUGGCUCUCACCAGGAGGAAACAGUACGAGGAGAGCGGGAAGGCACUGGAGCGGAUGAUGAAAGGGUACAAUCCCAAAGACCCCGCCGCGGUCCUCUUCGCCCUCGACCUGGGCGAGAUCCGCGAUGCGUCCGUCCGCCUCGCGGCGGCUGUGUCGGCCGCGUGCGCGGUCGCUGGCGGCGUGGCGGUCGGCGGCGGCGGCGGCGGCAUGUCAUACACAGGUCUCUCCUAUGCCGCCGCAUUCUUCGCGCUCCCAAUGCUGUGCCUCUCGUACUUCCAGAAGACGUGCGCCUACCCGGUGGACAUGCCCAAGCACCUCGCCGCCUACGACCGGCCCCACCUGAAGGUGAUCCGCUAUGCCUGCGUUCGCUUCGUGGCCGCCGUGUCAGCCGCAAGCGCGAUAGCCGGCGGCUUGGUCGUCGGCGGCGUGUCUUGGAUAGGCCUCUCCUACGCCGCCGUCUUCUUCGCGCUCCCCAUGUGCCUCCUCUACUUCAGGGAGAAGUACGGUUUCUCCAUGUCCGAUAUGCCCAGCCUGCUCAAGUGGUGCAACGUGUCGGUGCCUAUGGCGGCGCUAGCGCUGCUGUUCCGCCUCGUGACGGCGGCGCGGCAGGCAGCCGCACCGGACGUUAGGCUCGUCGCCAUUGCCGGCACCGUGUGGGCCGUAGACGCCGCUGCGAUUGGGUUUCUCGGCUGGCGCAGCACGAGGGAGAUGGCCAAGCCCAUACUACGGGCGAACGCGUCGGAGAUUUUCACGUCGUUCGUGAUGGUUUGCCUACGAUACUGGCUGUAUCUGCACGUUUUCUAUAUCCUUGGCAACGGUUCACAGAGAUGGUUCAAUUCAUUAUAGCCGUUCUAGUUGAGAAUUAUCAAUGUUAUGCUCAAAAGUACACUUUAACAUUAAUAUAAUAUAAUGUAUUUGUCUUUUUUUCUAAGUAUGCAACAUUGUUUUGUUUUAGUCACUAUAAAAAUGAUUUUUGCGGACGCACACCCUAUUUUGUUACAUGCGGGCUAAAAGAACAUCUACAUGUAAAAAUAUUUUGGAUGUUGUUUGGUUCAGACACGUAUAGAAAAAUCGUUUUUCGUAAACAGGCCUCUCAAAGCAAUGCAAAAAUAUUGACGAACCCGGCAUAAAAAUUUAUCUAUAGUGGACUAUGAUUCUUAAUGUGUUAGAUUGCCCCUAUGUCAAUGGAUAUCUAACCCUACUUAAAAAAUUGUAAUUUUCUAUUCGUCAUACUCCGUUUCAUCCAUCAUCCAAGUCCGACUGCCUUUGGCCUCAUGAUCAUGAUUUCUCCCUAUGCCUCUAUCGCUCCUCCUCACCUUCCCUAACCUUCGCCGCCGCAACGCCAUGGCCUGGCGACCUCCACUUCGCACCACUUCUCCUCUCCCAAUCCUAACCCAUAUGUCUUCUUUGUCUCUAGCCUCACCUUCUCGCGCGCACGGCACCGAUAAGCAGGCACGGGUGUGUGGACAGCCCCCUCUUCCUCCCAAGUCACAACCCAGCCCUAGCCUUCUCCCUUGUGUGCCAUGUGCCUUCUCAUGUGCAUGCCCGACGACCUGGUUUGGAGCUAGGGGCAACGCAGCCAGCAUCUGGCCUCCUCCAAUUGACCAUAUGAAAUCGAAUUCAAGGUGAGCAUGAAGCUCCAACUGCUGUAUGCGCGGGAGGAGGUGAAGAGACCGUCGAUGCCCACCACGCUCCUUUGUUUUCUUGCGUGCCAUUUGUGAUAAGUAACAGUAACCUAGGGUCCUGGAGUCUCCCUUCGACAACAUAUUCAAUUCUACGGAGAAUCUUUCUGCUUUAAAUUUAUAUUCCAGAUCAUGAAAUGAAAUAAAUAAGUUCCGGAACAUUGAUCCAACAAUAAACUUAGCUAUACAAAGAAAAUAAUUUGUAACCCACCAAGUGAACAAUUAUGAAGCUCUUGGAUUAAAACAAAACAAUGUUGCAUACUAUAAAAAAAUAGAUAUUAAUGUACAUUUUGAGCAAAGUUACCAUUUACAGAAGUUGAUGUGAAUAUUACUCAACUAAAAUGGCUAUAGUGACGGCGCAUGGAGCGGCCGCUGGGCGAUGCCACGUCGGAUAGGAACAGUGCGCGGAGUGAAAAUUUUUCGAAAAAACCCUCUGAUUUAUGCGUAAUUAGAUCUAGGUUCCCCACAAACAGUUCUCCUGAAAUGUUAUUUUACAUAGGGGUCCUUCUAAAAACCAGAUAUGCUGUGCGAAGGACUUAAAAAAUCGUGAAGCCGGAUAUAUAUAAGGAAGAAGAUUAUUAAAAUUAAGCAAUAAAUAAUAAAAAAUCAUUAUAAAAAUGACCAUCGUCUUCAAAAUUUUCACAACCACAUGUAACGAAGAGUUUGAUCACGCGUCUCUCGUCAUGUUGUCCACCUAAAAACCAUACACAGCCACUUGUGCUACUAGCCUUGUAUAAGGCUAUAAGCAUAUCACCGGUCACUGACACGUGGCCCCAUAAACCGCCACCCUGCCCCCGCGACUACUGGCGCGCGCCUUCUGGACUCUUCCUGACCCUUUUUUGGCGGGCGACGCACGGUGCCCUUGACGUCCACGUCGACCGCGACCACCAACCUCUGACCCCGUCGCCCUCCACGUCGCCGCCUCCUUCUCCCCCGCCGACGUGGCCGCCGCCUCCGCCACCACCACCGCUCCCCACCUCCCCGUGACCUUCUCGAUCUCCCCGCCUAUUUAUGCUCGUCUCGUCACCCGCAGCAGCAGUAGCAGCAGAAGAACUGAAGAAGAGUGAUCUAGCUAGCUCGCUCGCCUGAGUUCUUUGCUUCAAUUCGAUCCUCGCUAAGCUUCCUCCAGCUCGAUCGAUCUCUCUCUGCGUUUUAGUUGGUUAAUUUUUGUGUUUGAGUUAUUUGCAAUGGCGGCCGCUACCAUGGCGCUGAGCAGCUCCUUCGCCGUCGCCGCCGCUGCUGCUGGUGGCGCGCCAUGGCGUGGUGUCGUCUCCGCUGGCCGCGCCGCGCCUCGCCGGCGUGUCGCGCUCGUCGUCAGGGCCCAGUCCGAGGUGAGCUGAGCAUGCCACGCUUGAUUGACUUGAUCACUGUGUGUUCUGGUGAUUGCUUCUUAAUUUGCUAACUUGGGAUUGAUCGUUCUGCAGCCGGAGGUGGAGCCGACGAAGGAGGAGACGGCCACGUCGUCGUCGUCCCCGUCUCCGGCGACGACCCCGACUCCGAGCCCCGCGGCGGCGGCGCCCAAGGCGAAGCCGGCGGCGAGCACGAAGCUGUGGGACGUGCUGGCGUUCAGCGGGCCGGCGCCGGAGCGGAUCAACGGGCGGCUGGCGAUGGUGGGGUUCGUGUCGGCGCUGGCCGUGGAGGCGUCGCGCGGCGGCGGGCUCCUGGACCAGGCCGGCAGCUGGAGCGGGCUGGCGUGGUUCGCCGCCACCGCCGCCGUGCUCUCCGCGGCGUCGCUGGUGCCGCUGCUCCGCGGCGAGACCGCGGAGGCGAGGAGCGGCGGCGUGAUGAGCGCCGACGCCGAGCUCUGGAACGGGCGGUUCGCCAUGCUCGGCCUCGUCGCGCUCGCCUUCACCGAGUUCCUCACCGGCUCGCCGCUCGUCAACGUCUAAUUUAAUUAAUUAAUUAAUUAAGCUGUACGUACAAUACGUGCAUGUACGUAUGCGUGUACUGGGUAGAUAGCUAGGGAUGUGUAUGUAUGCACUGUAGCCAAUAGCAAGCUUGAUAGUGCUUGGUGUACUACCUUGGAAUUUGAAAAAGGAAUUCAAAUUUUGAAACUCGCAAAAUAUUCGUGGGAAAUUUGGAUGUUUGAUACAGAUCCAUCUCGCAUAGGGGAACCAAAUGUAGUGGCAACCAUAUUUUUGGACACUACGAUUUGAACUCUGAUGUGAACAGUACUGGUGGAUAGAGUAACGUAGUACAAACUAACAGCUACGAUAAACAAAUUUCAAUUGACACUGUUUUAGGCAUCGUUGUCUUCGCUCUCUUCUAGAGCACAAUUCGUUCCUAGAGCAACCAAAAUAUUUCCAUGGCAUUUUUUAAAAGAAUAUUCAAACCUUCAAUGGCUCUAUGAAAUUAAUUUAUAUCUAAAUGCUAUACAUUUCAUGAAAAAAAAUGGAAAUAAAGAAGGUAGAUUGUAAUUAGUCAGUUAUAAGAUGUUACGCUGAGAUGGAUGCCAUAUAAUUCUACACAUGUUUAAAUGCUGAUUGAAGUUAUCCAUAACUAAGUGUAAUGCAGCAAAAGCCCUCUGAUUAAUUAGUCGAAUUAUAAGAGGGCUUAUUCAUACUCCCCCCAACCAAAAGUUUAUAGCAUAUUUCUUUUAUCACAAAGACCAAGUAGAAACUAACUUAUUUCACAUAUAACAAAGAAAAAAUAAUAUGCAUUCAUGAUUCAUGCAACUAGUAUUACAAUGUUUGCUUGAAUUUUAGUUAACAAUUUAAUUUAGCAUUGUAAAAAGUACAAGUCCUUCAUUUAAGUCUUUGAUGCAUAUGGAGACGCAUAUCUCAUUUGGAGAAAAAAAACAGAAAAUAAAUAAGCUUUAAAACUUUUGGACGAAUGGAGUAAUGAAAAAACUUUUACAGGAUUUUUAUGGACACUUAAUUGAAAAACAUUAAAAUAUCCCAUAACAUUCCUUCGUUAAUCGUUAUAAAGAGAUCCCAGUUUUACACCCGUAGCUAGGUUAUCAUAAUCAAUUAAGCUAGCAUGCACGGCACAAAUUAAGCUCUAGAACAGCGCUAAAGAAAAUGAUGGAACAAAACGCCAAUAAAACGGUCACUAACAUUGUUUUGCCGUCUCCUCUCGAGUUGUCGUUCUUGCAUGCGGAAAUUGCUGCCACUUUGUUGGCCAAAUGGAGAUGGAGGCUGCUAACUAGCCACGCCGGGUGGUGCAUGAUCAGUGAUAUGACCUCUUCGCGGUGGCCUCGAUGUCCACGUUGAGCAACCAAUGAACAUGGACCCCAAUCACCCCAGCUAGGCUCCAUGGGCAAUUUUGGUUUGAAGCUUGUCAUAAUUUUGUCUUUUUUUUAAAGACAAUGGAUAUAUAGAAAUGCGAUCUUGAAACUCAUUUUGGUUUAAAGCAUGCCAUAAUUUUGGUUGUUUCACGAAGCGGGUGCAGCUUAAUGGGUUAGUUCUUUUUUUUAAAAAAAAAAAAGAAGUCUAUCCACUCGAGUUUAAUUUAAUUUUCUAAACUUAGCACAUGUACUUGUAAUUUAGUGAUAGACGCUAACUAUGGUGUAUGUGUUUAUAUGGUCACGUGUGUUUGUACAAUAUUUUUUAAAAGAAAAAAUAGUUGUGUCAAAUCUUAAGCCAACUUUAGAUAGAUUUGCCCCAGCUAAUAUUGAUUCCAAUCGAAAUGACUACAGUCUAUAAAGGGUAAGAAUUGGCAACAAACCAAAAUAGCCCGAUGCGGCGUGACUGACGACCCAGCCUCACUCCACGUAGGUAGACGUACAACACGUACGAUUGUUGAUUGUUCAUUUGCUGUAUCAACGAUAGCUCAGUAAAAUCGUAUUACCUGUAAGGUACAAAGAAAUAAAAAUGACUAAAAUGUCCAUCACUUUAACAAAUCCUAAUGCAAUUGUCUCUCAUUUUAACAAACCCUAAUACAAAUCUCAAUGCAAUCGUCUAUUAUUUUAACAUACCCCAAUAUAUGUCCUCUACUUUUAUAAACUUUUAAUGCAAUUAUGGCUUAAAAGAUAAAAUUAUUUAGAGACAAAUAAAAUUAUGAAUAAAUAAAGUUAUUUUGAGACGAAAGGAAUUAUGCGUGAAAUGGGAAAGCAGGCAGGCAAAACUCCUACCAUCCUCUUCACAACGAAUUUAUCUAGUUCUCACAACACAAAUGGAUCAGGACAAGUUACAUCAGGAACCAGCUUAACCAUGCCGGUCGCUACUACUAGUAACUAGUGUUACACAGAGGUACAAAUGGCAGGCAAAAUCAUCACCCGAGCUUGCUCCUCAACUGCUCCGGCAGUGAGGCUCCGAACACCUGGGCGAGGGCCAUCUUCUGCCUCUUAUUCAGCCUGCACAGCUCCAGUCCCCCGCAGGACUUGCCAGUCAGCAGCUUGCGCCCAUCGUCUACAGCUUUCCUUCUCAGGGAGCACAGCUGUGCAGAUGGUUCGGUUGUGAUCGCACUAUCGGCAUCGGCUUCGGCUUCAGCUUCAUCUGCUCCCCAGUCCAACUCAUCGUCGGUCAUACCCUUCGAAGCCUCAUUUGCUGAUUCAGGGGCUUCACCGUUAUCGUCUUUCGCAGGUGUGGUCUCCGUGUGGCUGUCAGUCCCCCACCAUUUCAUAGUUUGCAAAGACAAGCCAGAUGAUGGAAAUCCGUACUUGAAGUCGUCCAUGUAGGUUGGGAUGCCUUUGGUUUGGGUACCAUAGGACAAGAUUGCUGAUCCACCCAACACAUUUUGUUUUCCUGGGGGUGAGACUUGUCCUGCCUUCGAACUUCCCUGUUGAGAUUUUGCCACUCCUUGGAAAGCGCCUGGUGAUCUAUCAAUAUGUCCAGAUUUAAGUGUCAGAACAAAUGCUGCAAACCGCUUCAAUAGUGACAAUAGAUCAUCAUAUGGUGCUUGAUGCAGAGAACUGAGAAACCAAAUUAGACUACAAUAGUGGUAACUGGUAACAACAGAGGGAAAGUUGAUAGCAUCCAAGUGUGAAAACAUAGAAACACGCAGCCUCGGGUCAGAGAGUCCCACAGAGGGAUGGUCUAAACUGUUGUUGUGGUCAGGUUUACCUGGUACCAACCCAAUGUCCCACUCUACUGCCCCAGCAUCCAUACUCAGACAGCGGAUGGUCAGUAGAAUCCUGAGCAAUGAACCACUACAAAAACACACUGUAUGCAAGUAUUGCGCAAAUAUUUUUUUUCCAGCUGAAAUUCAUAAGCACAAUUAUCCAUGUCCACAGCUCAAAGUAGCCAUAAAAGGAAUAAUAGAACACCUAAGGGUCAUGAGACCAACAACCGAGUUUGAGCAGUUAAAUCAGACAAGCCAAAAGCUAGUAGCAGUAAAAGUUUACUAAGCAGAAGCUACAAGUACAAUUAAAAUUGUCAUGUGCUUUUAGAUUUAUAAUACAGAUUAGCGACAAGAAGGCAAGAAUGAGCAUAUCAUUAACUUCUUCUAUUGCACUACAUAGCUUAAGUUAAUGGUGAUAUUGUCUGCAGUAAAACGUGCAUAGACUCUCAAGUUAUACAGGAUCCAGAGCAGAAAUCUUAGUAGCAGAUAAAAAAAACUGGGACAAAUUCUUCUUAAAAUUAAUAAGUAAAUUUAUGAAAAAACAGAUUGUCCUGUAAAUUAGUUCCAUCCCUUAUGAUAUAUGUAUUACUUGGCCACAUAUAUGUUCAUCACUGUUGUUUACAACAUAGUGCAUUCAGCAUAACUUGAAUCUGCUGGCAGUACAAGCUACAAUCAGUCGCAAUAGGAAUUACCAUAGGACACUGCCAUAAAACAGCCAAUAUUACAACUGGGAUGGAGUUGGACUGUAACAGAAUAUCCAGAUCUACCAUAGAUGAUAAUUAUCAGUCCAGAUAGAUAAGAGAACAAGGAAAUGCUGGAAUUUCAAGUACUACUUUCUUCACAUCUUGUACUAGUUAAGCGUGAUAUUACACUGAAAUAUUCAUGCGAGUAGAAAAAGCUUUGAAUUAUUCCAUCAACUACCUCAGUAUACUCUGUUGAUUAUCAAGAAAAUAGCACUAGCAAGCAGUUGUCGUGGCUAACAUUCAGUGAGAACCAAGCAUGUCCAGUUAACAUUUGCAGAAGAGAGAAGACAUAUUUAUUAUUGCACAGGAAACAGGAAUAAAAUAUGGGCAUCAACACAAUCAAGUUAAAACGCACUACUCACACUGUUGAUAGACCAGAUGCGCUUAGAGCCUUCUGUUUUGCAACUUUAGAUAUCUCAAGAAGUCCCUUGGCUUUCUCUCUUUCAGCGUUUUUUGUGUCAUCACCAGACUUCCCAGAUACAAGCUGCAAGCAUGAAUAUUUAAGAAAAAUAAUAUAAAUAAUUGGAUUGCAAAGAAGAAACUAAGAACAAAGCUGGGAAAACAUAAUCAAUAUGCGGAAGAGAAGACAACAUGGGGUAGAAAUAGCUUUCAGACUGUAGUUGUUCUAUGUUUGCAUGCAGAAUAGAGUAAAUACCAUCUUCAAUAACAGUUUGAACCAACUCACUAUGGGCAUUCGAAUAGCCAUUGAACAAGCUUUAACCAAUUAUGCAGCUAGACAGCAUAUUUCAGUUAUCGAAUAUUUACCGGAAGGAGUAUUUUAUUAGGGAAAUUUAACUAUUCGCCACUCAACAGUGAUGGCUUCAACGAUUUGCCAUUUUACAGAUGCCAAUUAAUUAUUUGCCACUAAACAGACGUGCACUCUUAAUAAAAUGCCAUGUUACCUAUUUUGUUUACUAUUUCCCACCUAAACACAAGGAUUCGCCUAUUCUCCUUCCUGUUUUACCCUUCAUCCUACCAUGUCCUCAGUCUGUUUUCUCCAUGGCAAAGGCUGCCACCUCCAGUUCUCAAUCAAGGCACGCACCAAGUGCAUCCCAAAAGCCACAGGUGCUGUGAUUGAAGCUUCUGAUGAUGGCCUUUUGUUUCUUAGCAGCAGUUCUGUUAGCAGCUGAUUGUGGAAUAAAAUAAUUCAUCCAUCUUAGUAACUAGUCAAUACCAAGGAAUUAGACUUAUAUUUCUUCGAUGUAGAUUAUACUUGAUAUAUUCGGCCUGUGUCAGGAAGAGCUCUGAAUUAAUGGAUGAUUGCCAUGGCGGAGCAAGGGGUGGUCGCUAUCUGUUCUGGUUAGAGGCAGCCAGCAUGGGAGGACAAGGGAGGUGGAGUUUUACUGAGAGCGCACAUCAAAUUUAGUGGAAAGCAAUGAAUUACCACCUACAUAAUAGGGCUUCUAGGGCAUAGAAUCUAGCGCCUCUUUUCUUCCUUCGAAGCAAACUUCAAUCUUUCAUGAACAUCUUCAAGUAGCCAACAUCUGACAUAAUUCAUUCGUCUCCUUGCUUACUUUUUGGGAUACGCUUAAUUCAACUAUUAAGAUAAGCCUCUGAUGAGUACGAUAUCAGUUCCUAAAGCAGUCUACCUUGUAAAUUGUUAAAGCCACCAACUGCUGCAAAAUAUAUAAGCAAAGAGAGCACCAUGUUUACAUAUAGGAUACAACCACUGCAUACUUCUCUUUGCUCAAAUAGCCCUAAAUUAGAACAAGCAUGCAAGUUCUCAUCGGCAAAUAGCUUUCUUUCUUCCUUCUCGCACCAGUGAUUUCCUCGUCAGUUAGACAUUCAACACAAUCACUCAAAAACACAGGAAUCAGCUCAUGAAACUAAUCUGCUGAAUUCCUCGUCAGUUCUGACAUUCAAGUUCAACACAAUCACUCGAGAACACAGGAAUCGGCUCAUGAAACAGGGCAAAACAUACCUUUCGAUACGGCCACCUGACGAUGCCGUGGCUGCGGCAAAUCCUCUUCAAAACGCUGGUGCAAACACCUGCAAAUCCCCCCCCCACCCAAAAGUUCGUUCAGCUGCUGCGCGGCCCUCAAAUCGAGCCAGGCGACGGAUCUCGCCCACAUCUGGAGAAGGACAGAGAGAGAGAGCGAGGGCGGGCGGGAUUACCGAGGAUGGAGGCUGCCUCUGCGAUUGGUAGCGAGAAGAGCUUGGAGAUCUCCUCGUACGACAACGAUACCCUCGUCGGCUUCUGCGGCUGCGCCUCGGAAGCCGGAGGAGCCGGAGUCGGCACCGCCGCCGCCGCCACCGGCUGCUGCUCCUGCUGCUGCUGCGGCUGCUGCUGCGGCUGGGCAGUGGAAGCCAUGGGAGCCGCGCACAUAACAGCGCGGGUGGCGUGGGAAUCGACUUCGCGCGGGAUAGAUCGGGGCGCGCGCGAACCGAACCGAAUCAAAUCGAAGCUGACGCGAAGCGGUAAGAGGCGGCGCGGGGUUUGGGAUGGGGAUGGAGUGGGAGAGUGGAAGAGGGCGGGGCGCAGCGCAGCGGUGGCGGCCGGAUGCGUGGGUGGGUGGGACGGAUCGGAUCGGCGUGCCGGCUGGCUGGCUGGGUCGAUUUCGAUUUGGGGAUUUCGCCUUCGGUUGGUGCGCGUGUGUGGUGGAUUGGAUUGGAUUCUUCUUUUUUCUUGGGUUGGAUUGGAUUCUCUGCUGCACUGGAGGGUUUGGUUACACAGACAGGUGGGCCCCCUUUAAUCUGGGAAUAAUUUACAGCAUUUUGGGCCCGGCCCGGAUUGGUAGAAGUCCUCUGCAAAAUUUGAUAAGCGAGUACUUCAGUUUCGGUCACCUAUAUAUUUGUCGAAAAAAAAUUUCCUAAAAUUUUAAUAGACAUAAUUUUAAAUUUUCAAAAAUCUCUCCGUAACAUGCUAUUUUCGUGAAACGGAGGUCGUGGGAACGAAUCCUCUCACAUAUGUGCACGCAGUGACUUUUUUCUUCUUCACUUGCAUAAAUUUUGAAACAAAUCUAACGGUUUAAAAUUAUAUAAAAGUUAUAUGCACGUUACGACGUAAUUACAUUAUAAUUAUACUGUAAUUAUAUAUGUUAACUUUUUAGGAAAAAAAUUGUCGACAAAUAUAUAGCAAAAUUGCUUCAAUUUUAGGACAUAAUUCUAGGUUAUUUUUGUGCAUAUGAAAAGAGUGUGGCAAUAAUGUUUAAAAGACCGCGAGUGGUAACAGGUGUGAUCCCCUACUCCCUAGCCCUCGUCAGUUCAUCAAUGGGUUCCGCUUAGGGGUGGGGAUUCGGUCUAACCAAAAAAUUUCGGUGUCGGUCUUCGGUCUUUCGGUCUUUGAAAAGUGAAGACCGAAUUUCAGCGCAAAAAAUGUCAGGACUGACAAAUUCGGUCUCGGUCUCAGUCUUGACCGAAAUUCAACAACAUUUUCAUAUAUGCAAAGAUAUAAUGGAAAUUUCAACACAAAAAUCACAAAAAAAAUCAUAAGCACUUAUAAGUAAAGACUUUUAUUAGGUUGCAUGCCUUGAAGAAGUAGGGAUGUGAAAAUUAGAAUUUAAUCCUAUUAAACAUAGUGGAUUGUAGGUUGCAUUUAGACUUUUUUUUUAUAAUUUGAUCUUUUCGGUCUAUUCGGUUUUCCGAGGAGACUAACCGAAUUGACCGAACAAAAUUCGGUUUUUCACUACCUAGAACCAAAUUUCUCGGUCUCGGUCUUUUUGGUUCGGUCUUUUUCUGCCCACCCCUAGUUCCGCUGUCAACGGACACGGUUGGCAUAGAUGUUGAUUCUGUAUUUUUUUAGCAGACUCAUCAUCGGAUGUGAGUGAAUACAGUGAUCAGGAGGUCAACGAGGUUACCAUGUCGAAGCUCGUUGAAGCGUUGGCUCUACCCUGCUUUGUUGCUCGCACUCAAGAUGAAGGUUUUCAUAAGGUUAUCUUCAAUACUGGUUGUAUGUCAGUUAUUUAAAGAGUUAAAUCGUCAUUGAUGGGCUGAUCUCCACUUCUCCAGUUGGUAUAAUGGUUGUAGAUAUCCAAGGAGACGGAUUUCUUCACCGUUAGUUUUUUCUCAUGUUUAUCAUGUGUCGAAUGUGAUGGCUCAUUUGCUAGAAUACUCUUGUGAACACCUACAGGGAAAAUGAAUAGGUUUCCUCGUGUGUUCUCAUUACCCCAGCUGGGAAUGGAGGAUUGCACCACAUGAAAAGUGCACAGAAUUUUCAUUUACCAUUUGGAACAUAUAAGUUCAAAUAUCAGCUAACGCAUAACGUUUUUCCCCUAUGCCAGGUCCCAAGGCAAAUCAAUCUAUGCAACUCCAAGUAACCGUAAUUUUAUCACAAGUUUAAGUGAGAGCAUCAAGUUUACUUAUUUACCAGCUUUUACGGAUUCCGCCUACGAUUUCAAACACCCCAUCUCACUGUUAUCAUAUGUUUCGCCAAUCCUUUGUUGAGUUUGUAUCACAUUCUUGUGGUUUUCUCCCCUAUUUGGCUAUUUCCUCUUCUGAUUUCAAAUGGCCAACCGAGGUAAUGUAAGCGACAUUAGGCCCAAACUAGAAAACUAAACAGGCCCAGUUUUCCUGGGCCACAUAGCCCGCAUCUCACUCGGCCCAUUGCGUUAGACACCGGUUAGCUCUUCGCGCCCAGCUUCCGGCACAGCGCCCACCCGCACCGCUGCUGCUGCUGCUGCGGCGGCUGAGCACCGCACCGCCGGCGUCUGGUGACGCCAUGCACGUCGCACCCUUCCGAAUUCGCGGUCUCUUCCCCCUUCAGGAGCGGCAGCCGGUCGAACGCCGCCGCGACGAACGUGGCCAGCACCACCACCACCGGCCCGGCGGCGACGAGCCCUCCCGGCGCGACGCCGCCGCCGAGCACGCCGCCGCGCGGCCCGGCCAGGAACACCGCCGCGGAAGCGCCUCCGCCUCCGGGGGCGCCCUCUGCCGCCGCAUGCGGCGGUGGGGACGGGAAGAAGCACCCCGCCAGGCCCAGUAUCUCCAUGGUGCCGCGGAGCACCACCGCCGCGGGCUCCCGGAGCACCACGUCCGCGACGCGCCCGGACGCGCCCAGCACCAGCGCGCCGCGCCGCGCGCGGCGCGCCACUGCGGCGACGCACGACACCACGUCUCGCCCCGCGGGGACCUCCACGACGAGGGCGCGCAUCGCGCUGGGGCACUCGUGCGCGAUCACGGCCACCGGCGGCGGCUUCGGCGCCCCGCGGCCCUUGCAGGGGCACAGCGCCGCCGCCGCCGCCCUGCUCGGCCGCCGGAGCUUGCCCGGCGCGGCCGCCGCCGCGUCGUUCGCGGUGACCACGCCCAUGUUCGCGUCAAAGAUUUUGCCCGCGUCGUCACGUACUUGUGGAUGCUUAAUUACUGUGAUUUUUAGAGCGUUUUAAAGGGCAGAUGCCCGUGUUCUUCGAAGUAGCUCAGCUGUUAAGAGGGAAAAUAAGCGUGAUGCGUUUUUAAUUGUUAAGUACUCGAACAUCCUAACAAGCACCCAACUGUCACGGUGCUCAUGUCCUGCAAAAACAUUAAAAAACAAGGACCCAACUGUCACGGUGCUCAUGUCCUGCAAAAACAUUUUCUGCAACAUGCAAGUAGGUAAAGUACAUGUUGAACUAAGCAUUUGGCAUGAACCAUAAUCAUGUUAAUGAAGGUGAAUCAGGGCUCCCCUUACCGUUUUUGGCGCGCUUAUCGCACUCCCGCGGUAACCGCGAGACAUACCGUGGUUACAAAAACUAAAAAGGUUACCGCGCAUGGUAACCGUGAUAACCGCGUGGUAACCACGCGGUUUUGUAAACCCUAGGGUGAAUCAGUGAAUUGCCUCUUCUAAAAUCUAAAUAUCCCUUCUUCAGGAAAAAUGUGUUUAAAAAAUUGACUGCAAAAGAUUCAAUGACUGAAACCAUUUUGAAGACUUUGUUUGGAGGUUGAUCCUGGGUGUAUCUGGAUCCCAAUGCAUUCCACUUGAUGUGGUGCUGAACUGCUGAUUCAAUUUAUAUUUACCAGUUGCAGUUUGAAAAACUUGGCCAUUUCAGCAUUCACUGAUCAAUUUAUCUUGCAUAUAAUGAUGCAGCAACAGGCAAAAAAGUAAUGUUGUUGAAUAGUACUGUGGUGUGCUAAAAUCAACCAAUUGAUUGAGGUGAACGCAUACGGUAUUUAAUAACUUAAAAGGGACAUAUUGAAUAAGCCUGAUCUACAUUUGGAGUGUGUUUCAGAAGUAACUGAUGGAAUCAGGAUAGAACACUGAAAACAGCUCUGGAAACUAAAGAAAUAUCAAACCGGUUACCACGACAUCUCUUCUGUUCAUGAAUCAAGGGAGUUGCCGAUGACAACAUGGGACAAACCUAAGCAGAAUCAGACGGCCAUGUUGGCAUUGUUAAGUUCAGAAAGUGCACAACUAACUGUAUCAGUAGCCAUGGCCAAGUUUCAUGUUUCAAUAAUUGCAGUCAAAGACUCAACUCGAAGUACAAACAUGGCUGCUGUUAGUACCACUAAUUUAGUAUCCCUCCACCGUAUCAGUACUUGCAAUCCCCCAUGAUCCCUGAAUAUACAAUACACCUGACACACUUGUUUUGAUUUUAUAAACCUGACACACUCGAUCAAUUGAUCCUCCUACUGAAUCUAUAUUGUAUUCCGCAUAGGCAUAGCCCAAUAGUCUGAACAGUGACGCGGAUACUUUCAGAAAAAACUCGACACAUCGCGGAGAGUCAGUAAGCAGAGACAGCGGUAGCUAGCGAGUAGCUCUUGACAAAAUAGUUGCCCAUCCUUUUCUUCAGACUAGAGAAGUUCAGACCAAGCUGUUCACCUCAUUUUUCUUUUCCAAGCUGCAGAGACUAGUGAGCCAUGUUUUUUUUCUCAGAGAAAAGAAUUAAGUUUCUCUUCCUUUCCAACUCGAACAGUCGUCGACAUCGCCAUCACGCCUAUAAAUGCAAGGCAAAAACCGAUCGAUCCGGGUCUAGACAGACACAGAGAGAGAGAGAGAGAGCGUCUACUCGUCUCUCCAAUAUUCCUCUAGCUGCUUUGCUUGUCGCUUGGUGGUGACGACGACGACGACGACGACUAGUGGUGGUGGAUUGGUUGGCAACUCUCGAGCCCACGUGGUUGUGGAGACCAGAAGAAAUAUGGGGGGCGUGAAUCACACACACACACACACAGACAAUCAUAUCCCGCGGUCAAUGCCGUCCAUGCUCUUCAACCAGCUUCCUUUCGUCACCUGUACAUCAUCAAAAAUCUGUCUUGUAUUCCGAUUCCCAAGUAGUAGUACUAGGAGUAGAUCUCAGCUUUCUCUUUCCCUAUUGUCAUCAAACUCUCCCAUGAUUUGAUAGUCGGUACCUGAUACCCCAUAUCUUCCAUUUUGUCAUGUGAGGUGCGUAUGUAAAGAAGCUCCCACUAAAAUUACCGCGGGCACGUUUCUAAAGCUACGAAAUGGCACGUUUUUCUAAAGAAUAUUUCAUCGUCGGUAUUUUUGAAACAAUUUAUUGAAUCCGUGUUUAACUUUGCAACAUAUAAUACUCAACAUAAAUUUUACAAAACCACAUAUUUUACUUAGUCGUACUUAAUUAAUUAUGCUCUAAUUAGCCGGCUAGUCAACUUUUUUUUUUAACGAAUUGACGAGGCCGCCAAUUUUAUUGAUUAGAGAAGAAGAAAACUGUACAAAAGGAAACUUUACAAAAGCAAAAACAGAGCUGCAACCCUGCUGAAAAGGCUAAUUACAGUGACAGCCAUGCAGCGAGGCUUCUCGCACCCGUAACGCUCCACGUUUUUACUUCCUCUUUUAUCUUGGGCUAGUCAACUUUCAUAAGUUGAUUAACUCUAUCGUUGUUAUAGGAAAUAAUCGAGUUAUAGGUAUACAAAUACUGACUCUAUCGUUAUUAAGCAUCAGCUGAGGUGUUUUCAACCGUGUUGGGAGAAUUCAAGCUCGAAGGCAAAAUCACGGAGAGAGUGUUUGUGACACCCAACUCAACGUCUAAUAAGGAACAAAUAAAGCAGAAGAUGAUAGGAUCCAGAUCCUCUGACUUUAGGCACUAAAGGUAGGGGCGUACAAUAAAAUAAGUCUGAUGGUACAAUAAGAAAUUGUGAUUUUGCAUAUAUUUUCUGUAGCAACAGUGUAAAACAGUAAAAUAUAUAGCAUCGCAUCACUGUUUUUUCAGUAUUUUAGCAUAUUUUAGUAAUCGAUCUCGUUCGUUUGCUGUGAAUCAGACAGCUAGAAACACCUCAGAGUCAUGGUAUUAUUCCUCUGCUUAUAACCCCCAAAGUUAGAGGAUCUCAUUCUUAAGGUAACAAGGGGCAGGGUAAUGAGGAUGAUCAACCGAGCUGAUAAAGGACCCUAUACUAGGCUCGUAGGUACAGUGUGCACGUAAGAACUGGGCCGGGGUCACUCACAAGAAGAAAUUCUGCAUCACUGCAAAUAAGAAUUUUCUUUUCUUACAUUGGUCAAAAGGGCUAAAGAAGAUUGAUUCUCCUUGUUUUUCACAUUUUCCAUUCUGGGGGAGAUAGGAGUAGUAAAUCACAACAAAAGACGCUUGGAAGUGUCCGGUAUGCAUGGAUUCCCUUUUGGAAACCUUUGGAAAAAGAACAGGCCUUUUUCUGCGUCCGAUUUGAAUGCAUUUUUUGUAGCUGAAACUCCCAGCUCCCUCGCCAAGUAGCCAUAGCCUUUCCCAAAGCCAAAGCCUUUUGCACUUUGCAGUUUGCACAUCCAGUUUUCUUCUCCAAUUAGGUGAACCUAAUUGAUAGUAAAUCAAUUAUCAAUUUCCAUAGGCUGCAUGGGCAGAGAGAGAGAGAGAGAGAGAGAGAGAGAGAGAGAGAGAGAGAGAGAGAUGUGUUAGUUGCUGAGUAGGCACGGUGCUCGUCUGGUCUACGCGGGUUCAAUCGCCGGCGUCAAAAAGCGCCGGUCCAAGAAAUCAGCUGCAGGAGACGUGCGGGGUGCGUCGUCGUCGCUAACCCAAGCUUAGCACCCGUACGUGCAUCUCCAUCCUGCCCCUGAAUUCACACUCUCUGUAGAACUCUUCAUGUCCUAAAAUAAAUUGAUUUCUCGUGUGUAAAAUAAAAUUUAAUACUUAAAGAAAAAUAUUGAACGGGCUUCGUUAAUACUCUGUUUUAAAAUACUAAUCUGUUUUAAAAUAUAAAAGAUUUUGAUUGAAUGGUAACAUCCUAAUCGUACAGAUUUAGACCGUAUUUAUUUAUAAGAUAUAUAUCUCAUAUAACCAAAAUCUAUUAUAUUUUAGGAGGGAUGGAGUAUCAAUUAUUAGGUGUAGCUAGAAUAUAUUGAAUAGAUAAUAAAUUUAUCGAUUUGUUAAUAAAAAGUUUGUAAGAGGUUUAAAAAUCAAUUUGUGAAAAAAUAACUUGUGUUAGAACGAAGGAGUACAAUUUGCUAAUUUUCACGGCAUCUUCUUGACGCAGAUCGGCAUCUUCAAGCUGCCCGGGUUUCCUAACUGAUUAGAGCAAGAAGACUUUAAUUUCCUCCUGGCUCUUGUACGUAAUUACAUCUGGUCAAACGACGCCACAAAUAUCUCAACCAGAUCAUCACGAGAUUAAUUCUAACAAGGCACUCGAUCCCGUGGUUUGUAUCGCGAUGGGAUGGAUAGCUGGUUAACCCGGUUUGCUAAUUGCUAAUCGAAAGGGACAGGUGCUUUUGUCUACGUUAUCUGCUAUAACCUACACGGUUAGGUUAGUCUAAGCAUUAGCAUAAGCCUAACAAAUUAAUCAACGGGGACACGUUAGAACGUACGUGCGUGCAUGAUGGAUUGGGAGAGGUUUUCGGCGAAUUUUGUUAAUUACUACUCCCUCAGCUAAAAAACAAACCCUGAAUUUUCGUGUCCAACUUUGACUAUCCGUCUUUAUAAAUUUUUUUUAUAAUUCGUAUUUUCAUUAUUGUUAGAUGAUAAAAUAUAAUUAAUAUUUUAUGUGUGAUUUGUCUUUUUAAUUUUUUCAUAUUUUUUUUAAAAUAAGACGAACGGUAAAACAUUGAACACGGAAAUCAGGGUUUCUCGUUUUCUUUGGAUGGAAGGAGUAGAUAUAUUAGCUGCGGAAGUCGCGUUCCAGGUGACUACAUGAAGACCAGAUCCACCAAUCAGGGGAUGCCGCUUCGAGGGGGCGAUGCCUCCAUUUUCCAACCGUAUAGUGCGAUACGACGUGGGCAGUUCUACCGUUCUACCCUCUCUGACCCUUCUUCUCAUUCUUGAUUUUUCCUGUGGUCGAUUGGAAUUUGGAAAUGAGUGGUGCCGACCCAGGAAAUUUCACCUACAAUUUGAGUUUAACAAAUCCAGCUCCUUUGAAAACUCCUGCUUUAUAAUACGGGUAAACUUUUGUUUUUGCUUACAUAUAUAGUCCAGCCGUCCCGGAACAUGUUUUCAUUUGAAACUUGUUGAGACUUAUAUUUCCUCCGUUUUUAAAUAGAUAAUAUUAUUGAUUUUUUCACACACAUUUAAUCAUUCGCCGUAUAAAAAAUGUGCAAAUAUGAGAGUGUAAAUUAAGCUAAUGAUAAACCAAGUCACAACAAAAUAAAAAUUAUGUAUUUUUAUUAAGACGAAUGGUUAUACAUGUAUUAAAAAAUUAAUUGUGUCAUCUAUUAAAAACUGAAGAUAAUAUAAGAGUAGUAGUUUCGCGGUAUUUUUGCUACGUCUAAAAAGUCAACAGUAGUGAAUGUAGGUUACUUAUGAAGUUCAUGUGCCGUAAAUGAGUCGUGCAUUAUUCCAAAACAAGGGGCUAAACCAUUGAGCUGCACCUUGAAUCAUAAUUUCAUUUGUUCGAGAAAAUGCGAACGUUGAGGGUGCUAUCCUCGAAUGGUAUGUGCAAAAUCAAUAAAUAAAGUUAUUUUUAAUCAGUGCUAUGUAUUAUAUAUACAGUUUUCUCAGUCUAAGUCCAAUAGCUGGUCUAAAAAAGAGGCGAUUAAUAUCCGAGAGAAGAGGAAUAUAUUUGUACGAUAUGCUCAAUGGACCCCUACAGUAAUUUUCUCUGGGGAAAACAAAAUGAGGAUUUUUGAGAUUUUUUGAUUCUACAUGAACCCCUGGCUCUCUUUUGAAAAGAAAAAAAAAAUCCUCGGACAAAUGCUUCAUAUUAGUUUAUAUUUGUACUAUAUAUUACUAUUCCAUAUGAUUUUUUUUAAGGUUUUGGAGUAGAGCUAAUAAUACGAUCACUUUUUUUUCCCUCAUCCACUAAAUGACUCCCCGUAUACUAAACAUUUUUUUAGAUGCAGAGAAGUUCCGAAAUGUUACAAUACGCCUUUUGCAGGAAUUCUUAAUAUGCAUCUACCACCUCUUUAUAAACUCGAACAAGUUGCCAAUAAAUGUUGUUGGAUAAAAGAGAAAUUUUAUGGUCCUUAAAGAAAAAAUUAUACACUUGACAUAACUAUAAUUGACGAUACUAAAUUUUACAUAAAAAUAUAUAUGAUAUUUCCCUCGAUGAAAUCAUCGGCCAGAUCCCCGAUGCAUCUCCCGACAAAUAAAAGCUGCUCCCAUCCAAAUUGCAGUGUUGAUUUUGCUUAUACUAAACGUACGGCAGGGAACUAACCAACGAGGCAACAAGUGCUGCACACAAAAACCGUGCAAGAACGUGACAGCACACCACAUGCUAGCUUAAUUCGUCAGCACACUCGUGAAAAUCUCGUUGAAGAAACCAAACUAGCUAGCUAGAAAUGUGAACAGACGAGGGAGAAGGCGGCGUUACGUUAAAAAAAAAUACACACAUAAUUCCAGAUGUGUACCUGUAGCCUGGACAAUGCACUACUACUCCAGUAAACAAACUAAUCUUAGCUAGGUCGUUGCUACACAUGCGUACGUGGUCACGGUGACAAUUGGCACGUACGUACGUGGAAACCUUUCUUUUGUCAACGGGCGACCGGUUUGUUUACGCUGACAUUUGUGUCCUCCAUGGAAUCAUCACGCGUCGAUCGACCGAUCGAUCAAGUUAAUCACGCCAGUUAAUCCGUAUCAGGGGGAGGUAAUAAUGAAACCCCCAUUGACCAGCUCCUCCAUUGAUUGCUUCAUCUUGAGAUCUUCUACGUUGGCGGCCAGGUUAAGUCAAAGAAGGAUCAAUUCUGCGGGUAAUUAAGUCGCCCAAGACGGUCGAUCGAUCGAUCGAUCGGUCCGUGCAGUACUACUCCGGCGUCAGAACUCGGAAGAAUAUAUAUAACUAAUCCUCCACGGUUGGUACGUGGUUUGAACUUGAUCGCUUGUUUUUGUUCGGUUUAAAUAUAUAAUUAAGCUGCGUUUCUAAAUUCCACAAUCGUCAGCGGGUUAAAGCUAGUUCUUUCCCACUCGGAGGAGCAGAAGCUAAACAACAACGAGUCAUUUGGAAUACAAGAAUUUCAGAAAGGAAUUAUAUACUACUCGAAUAGGGUAGUUUGUAGAUAACCGGAUUUUUCUUCCCUUGCACUAAACUGAAGAUGAGACCGACCGUGCAUCGGCGCAUGGACGUAAAGGUACACAACAGCUCAUUGCAUUUUCUCCGCUAUCUAGACAUAACUGUAUUUUCUGAGUCGUUUUAUGAUCGUGACUCACUUAGACCUAACACCGAACAGCGUGCGCGUUCGACGAUCCCCGUCCCAUGCAUGCAAGUGGAGCCUUGGACAGUUACGCACGCGACUGGGCAGCCUACCAUCCCGAAAUGCAGUUGCACAUAGUUGCCCAUUUCGGUGGCAGUUGACUGAUCCUCCAGUUACACACGCUUCUCUCGUAAUUUACCACUCUUCUCUGUAAAACCAAGUCUCUCAGAAGCUCAGAUAAGAUCGUUCAGAACUUCAGAUGCAACCUGAAAUGAGUGAUUUUGCCGUUCCUUGAUCCCCAGGCAAACUCAACGCAACGACGACCGGUGCUCCGAAACCGGGGCAUGCAGCGUGCACGCAUGUGCGCUCUUUCCCUGCGCAAUCGAGGGCAUAUGCCUUCCCAAAAUUUUUACCUCGUCACAUCGAAUGUUUAGACAUGUGUAUGGAAUACUAAAUAUAAACGAAAAAAAUAACUAAUUGCACAGAUUACGUGUAAAUUGUGAGACAAAUAUUUUAAACCUAAUUACUCCAUGAUUUAACAAUGUAGUGCAAUAGUAAACAUUUGCUAAUGAUGGAUUAAUUAGAUAUAAUAAAUUCGUCUCGAAGUUUACAGGCGAAAUCUGUAAUUCGUUUUAUUAUUAGUCUAUAUUUAAUACUUUAAACGUGUCUGUAUAUUCGAUGUGACACGCUAAAACUUUACACCAUAGAUCUAAAACACCCCCUGCUACUAAUCAGUUGAGGUCAAAGAAAGACUACAGAGGUGGGAGGCCGAGACGCGCCUUUUGGCCGGUAGAGGAGACGUGGACCGGGGGGCCGCUCGUGUAGAAACCGGAAAGAAUCAUCAGUUGCUCACUUGCCCAUGCCGGCCGGUCCAUGACUCGAUCGCACAGUGAUUCUCUCUAGAAGCUACCGAUCCUAGGGUCUAGGAUCUUGUAAAACCCGGCCCGCCCGUACGUCCGUCCGUCCGCCCUCGUGCUCCCAUCGCUUCGCGCGCCUGGUUCGUUGGACACCGCGUCGACGGUGUCCACGCCCACGCGACGCGACGGCGGCAAGGAGAGCGCUCGGAUUCGUCGCAUGCUAGCGCGGCGCACCGGCUGCGGGGGCGGAUCCGAUCGAGCGCGCGGUCAACUGCCGGUGGCCGGCUUGACGGUUGGGGGGGUGGAGCUGGCUGCCAGCUGGUGCCCAGGGGGGGGGGGGGGGGGGAGUUUCGCCGUUUCCGCACGAGUAAAUAUGACGCGUGGGGCCUAGCUCUCCCGGCGCCGCAAUCCACGCCCAGCCAGCACGCGCAACGACGCAUGGAGCCUGUCAUCUCCUACGGUUUCUCUCCUGUUCCUGUAGCACAUUUCUUCGGGGCGCUGGUGGGUGGGGACGCGGCCGGUCGACGCGUGCGCCCGGUGUCAGGGAGGGGACGUACGUAACGCGGAGUUGCUAAGGGCAGAUAUAAUAACAGUCUAUUAGCCAGCUGUAAACAUAUUUUAAUGAGAUAUAAAAAAUAAGAGAGAAGAGCAACGGGCUAUAAAUCUAUAGCCAGCUGUAGCACGGACUUCAAGACGUAGUGUGUGUAUGACAGGUGAGACCAUAUAGUAAUACUCCCUCCGUUUCAAAAUGUUUGACACCGUUGACUUUUUAGUACGUGUUUAACCAUUUGUCUUAUUUAAAAAAUUUAAGUAAUUAUUUAUUCUCUUUGUAUCAUUUGAUUUAUUGUUAAAUAUAUUUUCAUGUACACAUUUAGUUUUACAUAUUUCACAAUUUUUUUGAAUAAGACGAACGGUCAAAUAUGUGCUAAAAAGUCAACGUUGUCAAACAUUUUAAAACGGAGGGAGUAGUAUAGUAAGCAAUUAUUGUAUGAAUUGGCUAUUAGAUUAGCUAUAGAAAAAUUAGAGCUAGUAGUGCUCUAACUCCCUCCCGGGUCCCAGUCGGUUGGGACUUGGGACUGGCUGGCCGCUGGCGGGGUGUCGGACCGGGCGUCGUGUCGCGGACUCGGCGUGUGGGUACGUCGUCGACUCGUCGCACGCCACUGUAUUUACGUAUACUCGCGGGUCAUGCACGCCGGCGGCCUCCACUUUGUCGCCCAUCUUCACCGAUUCAGUGGGCUAAUUUUUUUUUUGAAGUCCUGAGAAAAAUUAUUUUUUGUUGAAAUUUCUAUGCCUUCCAUCUUCACCGAUUCAAGGAGGGUAUUUUACUAUUGUAGUCCUGAGAAAAUUAUUUUCGUUGAAAUUUCUAUGGUCUACACAGUUCAGAUAAGCCUUAACUAAAAAAAGUCAAUCAACCACGAUGUUCUUUUUUUCAACAAUAAGAAUGAACUCACGAUUUUUUUUUAAAAAAACCAAUCAAAUAGGCUAGAAUUAGCUCUAACCUGUAUAUAAACAAGUAGUCUUCCAACCCUCUUAAAAUGAGACACAUUCUUCUUAAUAUAAAAUAUCGGCAACAACAUUACCGUUCGAAAAAAAAAAUCAUCCAACCAACUGGAAACAUGGAUAACAUGUAAAAUUUAACCAGGAGGGACUAAAUAUUCAAUAAAUCUUGAUAUUCUCUUUUAGGCUGCGUUCGUUUUAGGGUGUUCCCAACCCCUGUCUCUCGUUUUCCACGUGCACGCUUUUCAAACUGCUAAACGGUGCGUUUUUUUUUAAAAAACAAUUAUAUACGAAAGUUGCUUAAAAAAAUCAAAUUAAUCUAUUUUUUUAAAAAUAGCUAAUACUUAAUUAAUCACGCGCUAAUGGACCGCUCCGUUUUUCGUGCGAAGGAGAUGGGUUCCCAACCCCAUGUAUCGAACACAGCCUAACACUUUCCCAACUCAUUUCUCUCGUUUUCCGUGCGCACGCUUUUCAAAUUGCUAAAUGGUGUGUUUUUUUUAAAAAAAUCUUAUAUGAAAGUUAUUUUAAAAAACAUAUUAGUCUAUUUUUUAAAUUUAUUUUAGCUAAUAUUUAAUUAAUUAUGUGCUAAACACUAUUUCGUUUUGCGUGCACACAACCCUCACUCCCGAACACAGCCUAAGAAAAUACUACUACUACUACUACUCUACUAAAAUAUAUCUGAUGCUUAGGACAAUAUUUAGUUAAACUUCUAAAAUUUCGAUCGUCAAUAACUUAUCAAUUUUUUAAUUAAAUAUGAGACAACUAGAUUUUUCUUGAAAGAAAAUUACUAUCAUUAUUAGAAUUACCUAUUUAGAUAGUGGAAAUGGUUUUAUUCCAGAACUUCGCCGGACAUACGACACACACAUACAAACCAAUUAUAACGACUUACUGGAGACAAAUAGAACUACAUUAAAUAAAAAUCAGUGUGGGAUUAAUCUCACCAAUCUCUCCCAUCAUAUUGAUUCAUAUGUCUCGUGCAUGAUCGUGCAAUCUUGAAUAUAGAUGUUCUUGGUUUUCAACUCUUCGGCUCUGAUAUCACUUCUCAGCUAAAGAACAAUUCUACCUCCCACGACACCUUUAGUUUACAGUGUGUUUGAGUAUGCAACUUGCAUUAGACAACUAGUAGCUGUUUAAAACUUUUAUAUGGUACCCAUUUGGAACAAUCCAGCAUAAGUAGAUAGGCACAUGUGAAAUAGCGUUGCCUUGCCUUUUGGACUUUGUGCUAUCAUCGUGUUGAAAUUAACUCAACCAGAUUAGGACCAAUUUCUUCCGGACUCGAGAGAGAAAUUGCAACCUCUCUUUCAAGCAUGUGUCUUAUAUAAUUCCUCCACUCUCCAACAAAAACAAUUAAUUUCUAAAAAGUAGAGAAACUUUUGUGGGCUACUUACCCUACAAACUCAAAGUUCACACAUGCCAAUAUUGUCCAAGCAUAUGCUGAUAUGCCAUGCAUACACCGACUUUAUCCCAAUUAUCAAAAAGGCAGGAGCCAACUUUUAGCUAGAUUCGUGUAUUAACAAAACACCAGCGAUCGCAUCUUGGACCGUUCCCACAACAUAAUAUUUCUCCAGUUCUCCCACUGUAUAUAUAUCCCCCUGCUUAUUUGCAGUUCGACAUGCAAGUAUGCAACUAGUGACAGUCUUAUCCGAAAACGACGCGAAGAAGAAAGAAAAAAGAAAAAAGAAAAAAAGAGGCUGCGUGUCACGUACUUGCAUCUCGGGGUGUGGGCCCGGGGGGGUUUUGGGCGGUGGGGGCCGCGGGAGUCAAGGGCGUUGACGUUUUCUCCACGUGGAUCGGCCCGGCGGCCCAAUCGGGAGCGGAGGUUUCGUGGAACGGUGGAAGAACUGGUCCCUGCACCCAUUGACCCAAACCCUAACCCUCCUCGAACUCAGAGCAAAAUACACAAAGAAACAAAUUUAUUUAUACGUUAAACUGGUGGGCCCAGCCUGGCCAUAGAAGAUCUCAGAAAGUUUUUAGUAGCGGCAAUAAAGAAAGGGUAAGAUCCGAGUCCGCUGUGUGGACUCGCGACCCUGUAGCUGUAGCCGAUCAAUCACAGGCACGAUCCUCCCGAACUCGUCUCUGACCAAUCCAGACCUGCGUUUCUUUCUCUUUUCUCGGUUGGGGGGCAAGUAAUCUACGGAAGGAACCUUCUGACCGUGGAAAAAAAAAACGCCCCUCGUGCAGUACAUGCUGACCUCAAUAUUUCUUCCCUAUUGCACACCUGCAUCGGCGCUCGUACCGCCGGAGAUCGAAUCCGAGAUAACCGUAGUAGUGGCGAUCGAUCGACACGUCGAGCGGCGGAGUGGACGUGUACGGUGCACCGUCCAUCUGCCCGUGCAAAUGUACACAAAACCUCUUUCAUCAAGCUACGUGGUGUGGGCGAGUGACAGCGCAACGGUGGAUGGAUGGAUGAUGGAUGUUGAAAACCGGUAGACCGGCGCGGGGUGGGAGUCGCCGUUGCGGGGGGCCUCGCUUUGGUUAAUUUGGCGUUGCGACGACGGGAGCCGUCGGUCGCUUUCCGCUCCACGGAAAAAAAAAAUCUCACGCUUUCUUAACGAGUUGGGAUUCUGAUCCGGAAGAGAAAAGGCGGAAAGCUAAAGUGGAGACACGCACGUAAACGAGCCGUCUCCGCGCCUCGCCGGAAAGGACGAUCCGGUCGCCUCGGCACCAGGCUCGAGUCGUCGUCGACUCCCGGGUCGGCCAAUGGGGACUCGCCACGUGUGCGCCUCGCCACUGACGCAGCUCCUGAUGUCAGAGUCGAGGGUGCUUCCCUUUUUUAUACGAGCCUCCUCCCACCGGUGAGAGACUUCAGACUCUCCCACUCUCUUCUCCCCCCUAAUUAUCUCUCUCUCCCUACCACGUCGUCUUCUCUUCUCUAUCUUCUCCGCCUCCGGGAAGAAGGACAAGAGGAGUAGGAGCUCCAGUUGCAUGGACAAGGGCCACCUCGGUGGUGGCGGAGGAGGAGGAGGUGGGCUGCUCGCUCUGGACGCGUCGCCGCGCCCGCUCGGCUUCUUGAACCUGCUCUCCCCGCCGCCGUUCCACAGGUCGACCAUGGAGGCCG